ACGGUCAAAAGCUUACUAGGAACCACUCAUCACUUCUCCGGUUAUCCACCACCGUCAGAUCAUCCAUCCACAGCUUAUCUUCUAUGAACGAGAUCGCACCUGAUGAAGAAAUAUAUAACCUUGAAGAACGGAAACUUCACUGCAAGCCCGUUUCACCUCUGGUUCGGUCCGGUUCAGUGCGUCUAACUCCAAUACUUGCCAUAUUGUUCCUCUAUGUAUGCACCCUUUUCGCCUUCUUCAACACGGACGACAUAGCCACCUCGGAAAAUCUGCUUUUAGGGCUUAUUUUAGUUGCGGUUUUACUUUUCUUCGCGUCGAAAAAUAAGUCAAGAAUCCAACAAAGUUUCAGUUUUUGUAAGGAACUGUGUUAUGAGUAUGGAAAAAAAGUUGGGUUCCUCUGUUUGACCUCUAAGAACGAUGAAAAAUCUGUGAAAUGGUUCAUCGGUGAAUCGAACUUCGAUUAUAAAGAGAAUGCUAAGAAUAUUAUAAGAGAAGGAGUGGAAUUUUACAGCAAUGGGGAUUACUAUGAAGGUGAGUUUCACCAAGGUAAAUGCAAUGGGAGUGGAGUGUACAAUUACUUCACGAAUGGGAGAUACGAGGGCGACUGGAUUGGUGGGAAGUACGAUGGAUAUGGAGUUGAGAGUUGGUCGAGGGGAAGUCGAUAUCGGGGGCAGUAUAGGCAGGGAUUGAGGCAUGGCUAUGGAGUUUAUAAGUUUUACACUGGGGAUACAUAUGCAGGGGAGUGGUGUAAUGGGCAGAGUCAUGGAAUGGGAGUGCAAUCUUGUGCUGAUGGGAGUUGUUAUAUUGGAGAGUUCAAAUGUGGGGUGAAACAUGGCCUUGGUUCUUACCAUUUUAGGUGAGAAUUGAUGUUCUUUUAUGCUUGUCUCAAUCUGUUUAAUUGAUUUUUAUUUUUUUUUCGAAAUUUUUGAGUUAAUACGUGAAUCUUGUUGGUGUCCGGAGCAUAAUUGGAGUGUAGGUAGCUGAAAUUUUGCAGCUAUAAGUGAAUGAAGCUCUCGAGCGAUGAGGAUUGAUGCUCUUUGAUGCUUGUUUCUAUUUGUUAAAUUUUUUAUUUCACUUUAGUCUUUUUUUUUUUCUUUUUCUUUUGAUUUAAAUUUUGAGUUGUAUAUGUGAAUCUCAGAUGUUGUGUGGAGUGUAAUCGUACCGUUGGUAGCUGGAAAAUUUGCAGCGAUAGGUGGACAAAGCUCUCAAGCAAUAAGAAUUUGAUGUUUUCUGAUGCUUGUUUCUAUCUGUUUGAUUCUGUUUUACUCUAUUUUUCUGUUAUUUUCGAGUCGAUAUGUGAAUCUUGUUGGACUGUGUGGAGUCUAAUGUAGAUAGCUGAAAACUUUGCAACGAUAAGUGGAUGACCCUCUCACAUCUAGGGUGAACCACCAUUAAUUCGUAUGGGCUUUCUUCGUUUUAUAAUGGAGUUAAGUUCAAAAUUAAUCAAUGGCAAAUCUUGAUCGUACAUGUGAUUGGUUCUAUGUUUGAUCUGAUAAAAUUUUGUUGGUGUUUCUUAAUAAUGUUGUUUGAGAUGACACAGUUUGGUUACAAAUUUUGUGGGGGAGGAUUCUAGUUUGUAGUAAUCGGAUUAUAUCUUAUGUUGUUUUGGAUUUUGUAUGAGAUUAGUUGCCUGAAAGUUUUCGAGUUCAUGUAUUCUAUUUGUUGAGUUUUUUGGCUUCUUGAUAGAUGGAACAAUAGAUGGUUCUGAUUAUUUUGAUGAUUUAGAAUCACAAGUUAUUGAAGGAACUUGAGAAUAAAUAUGAAAUUUGAUUGUCUUGUAGAAAUGGAGAUAGAUAUGCUGGUGAAUAUUUUGGAGAUAAAGUCCAUGGUUUUGGCGUCUAUCACUUCUCGAAUGGUCACUGUUAUGAGGGAUCAUGGCAUGAAGGACGAAAACAAGGUUAUGGCAUGUAUACUUUCCGAAGUGGUGAGACGAGAUGUGGCGAAUGGGAUGGUGGUAAACUUAAGGCGUCCCUUCUUCCGCUAACUGAUUCAGUUCUGCGAGCUGUUCAGGUAACAAUGUUACUCCUCUCUCAAAGCACAAUAAGGUUACUUUUCUAGAAAAUAAGUUUGAAUAAAAUCUAGAUGGACUAACUUCUAAGCACAACCAAACAUGCUCGUAUGUUCACUCUUAACUCUCGUUUUCUCUUGUAUUGUCCAGGCUGCUAGAAAAUCUGCGGGAAAUGCAAUAAAACUCUGCAUGGUUGAUGAACAAGUGAACAAGGCUGUUAUGGCAUCAAACCGAGCUGCUACUGCCGCCAGAGUUGCUGCUGUUAAAGCUGUUCAGAACAGGAUCGAUGGAAAAUUCUGCGAUACUGAUGUUUAAGUAUUGUCCAUAAAUUUAAAUCUUCUAAGUUGUUCUUGCGUAGAAGGUAUAUGAGCACCCCGAUAAGCAAAAACUCGUCGGAGGUUGAGUGUAUGUCGUGGUUUUGUUUCAACUAAGUAAUCUGUACAUGUUUCAAUCAUAAUUUCAAUGGGAAGCAUUUUUUAUUUAAAUGCCAUUAAAAUUGCGGUCCAUGAAAUGCACUGAAGAUAAUAGAUAGAUAUAAAAAAAUGCAGGAUUACGGGUUGAGCUGACCCACAGCCAUUGAAAAUAGUUCGAGGGAGUAGUAUGAUUUUGAGUUCAGACCUUCAACCUCCCAUUAACCUGUCUUGAAUUAAAAAUAAUGUAUAUGACUGAGACUAAGCAAGAAAUUGGUGCAUAAAAUAUAUGGAAAACUAGAAAUAUUGGUUCCUAAUAAAAGGUAUCUUGUUUUCGUUCAAGAGGUGAGACGAGUUACAACAAAGUGAGAAUCUGUCGAAUAGUUCACACCAAAUCCUCACGAAGGUUGAAAGUUGGUCAAGCAAAGAUUUAACAAAUCAAUGAUGCUUUGCUGCUUUAUUAGUUGGCUUCAUAGCUUGCUUCUUCCAACUGUUUACGUGGUUUAUUCUUUUUCCUUGACUUACUUAGUUCACAUCUCAAUUUUGUUAAGGAUUCUGGACCUUCUUCUUCACCUGGUCAAAGAGAAAGAAUCCUUCAACUCUAUGAUCACAUUUAUAGAAAUUUGGAGUAGUCUAUUGUCCUAUUGUAUAAUAAAAGGAGUAAGUAAUUCGAUUUGACUGAACUUUCAAACCAAAUCAUUUUAAAUGGUUUGAAAAAACCUCAAACCUAAAUCAAACCAUUCGACACAGUUUAAGAUUUUCUCAAACAUAUACCUAAUGAUUUAUACCGCGAUUAUUUUUCUUCAUGUUCACUUUGUCACUACUAAUUCAAUUAUUACAAAAUACUUUCAUACUUUAUUAAAAAAAAAAUAUAUAUAUAUAUAUAUAUAUAUAUAGUGAGAGCAUUUGAUGUGAUGUUUUAAAGUUUUUUGUACUAUUUUUUCAUCUAGUCAAAUCAAUUUUUAAUGAAGGACAUUUAGGAUAUUUGAAUUAUUUAGAUGGGCAAAAAUGUCCAAAAAUUUUCAAAAUUGACAAUAUUGCAAAGACCUAAAAAAGGUGACAUUUUUGUAAAUGUAAAGUCAAAAAUUGACUAUUUCGAUAAUUUCCACAUAAAAAAAUAAAAGGUGAAUUUAUUUAUUGAACCACAUUGAUUUCUUCUCCAAUAUCAAUAUGACGUGAGAGAAAAUAAAAGUAAAACCCUACUAUAAUUUUCUAGCAAAUGUGGUGCCGGCAAGGAAAUAACAAAUUUGCCGAAUCAAGAUCGGACGACCGUGUCUACCCGUCAAUACCGGGAAAUCCCAAUCCAACGGUUCAUAUACGUUACGAUAUCCACCGUUGGAUCAUCAACUGACGGCCCAUAUCAAACCAUUGUGGGCUCCACCAAACCUUUUCCCUAGACAUAUAAAUAACAAUUAUAGGUAAAACCAUGUCCACUCUGAAGAAUUCUUGAACAAAAUUCUCUCUCACGCAGUGGUUUUGUGUGUGUGUUCUUGUUCCAAAAAAUUGUUUUUGCUUAUCUUGCUCACUUAUCCGACGCAUUAUCGCCGGAGAUGAAACCGGCGUCGGAGUAUAUGAUAAGAAAAUCAAGGUACAGGAGAGUUAAUCGUCUAGCUAAAAAGAUCAACAGCUAGGAUUUUAUCAGCGGAUCUCACUGUCAAGAAUGGACGGUCAAAAGCUUACUAGGAACCACUCAUCACUUCUCCGGUUAUCCACCACCGUCAGAUCAUCCAUCCACAGCUUAUCUUCUAUGAACGAGAUCGCACCUGAUGAAGAAAUAUAUAACCUUGAAGAACGGAAACUUCACUGCAAGCCCGUUUCACCUCUGGUUCGGUCCGGUUCAGUGCGUCUAACUCCAAUACUUGCCAUAUUGUUCCUCUAUGUAUGCACCCUUUUCGCCUUCUUCAACACGGACGACAUAGCCACCUCGGAAAAUCUGCUUUUAGGGCUUAUUUUAGUUGCGGUUUUACUUUUCUUCGCGUCGAAAAAUAAGUCAAGAAUCCAACAAAGUUUCAGUUUUUGUAAGGAACUGUGUUAUGAGUAUGGAAAAAAAGUUGGGUUCCUCUGUUUGACCUCUAAGAACGAUGAAAAAUCUGUGAAAUGGUUCAUCGGUGAAUCGAACUUCGAUUAUAAAGAGAAUGCUAAGAAUAUUAUAAGAGAAGGAGUGGAAUUUUACAGCAAUGGGGAUUACUAUGAAGGUGAGUUUCACCAAGGUAAAUGCAAUGGGAGUGGAGUGUACAAUUACUUCACGAAUGGGAGAUACGAGGGCGACUGGAUUGGUGGGAAGUACGAUGGAUAUGGAGUUGAGAGUUGGUCGAGGGGAAGUCGAUAUCGGGGGCAGUAUAGGCAGGGAUUGAGGCAUGGCUAUGGAGUUUAUAAGUUUUACACUGGGGAUACAUAUGCAGGGGAGUGGUGUAAUGGGCAGAGUCAUGGAAUGGGAGUGCAAUCUUGUGCUGAUGGGAGUUGUUAUAUUGGAGAGUUCAAAUGUGGGGUGAAACAUGGCCUUGGUUCUUACCAUUUUAGGUGAGAAUUGAUGUUCUUUUAUGCUUGUCUCAAUCUGUUUAAUUGAUUUUUAUUUUUUUUUCGAAAUUUUUGAGUUAAUACGUGAAUCUUGUUGGUGUCCGGAGCAUAAUUGGAGUGUAGGUAGCUGAAAUUUUGCAGCUAUAAGUGAAUGAAGCUCUCGAGCGAUGAGGAUUGAUGCUCUUUGAUGCUUGUUUCUAUUUGUUAAAUUUUUUAUUUCACUUUAGUCUUUUUUUUUUUCUUUUUCUUUUGAUUUAAAUUUUGAGUUGUAUAUGUGAAUCUCAGAUGUUGUGUGGAGUGUAAUCGUACCGUUGGUAGCUGGAAAAUUUGCAGCGAUAGGUGGACAAAGCUCUCAAGCAAUAAGAAUUUGAUGUUUUCUGAUGCUUGUUUCUAUCUGUUUGAUUCUGUUUUACUCUAUUUUUCUGUUAUUUUCGAGUCGAUAUGUGAAUCUUGUUGGACUGUGUGGAGUCUAAUGUAGAUAGCUGAAAACUUUGCAACGAUAAGUGGAUGACCCUCUCACAUCUAGGGUGAACCACCAUUAAUUCGUAUGGGCUUUCUUCGUUUUAUAAUGGAGUUAAGUUCAAGGUUUAAUCAAUGGCAAAUCUUGAUCGUAUAUGUGAUUGGUUCUAUGUUUGAUCUGAUAAAAUUUUGUUGGUGUUUCUUAAUAAUGUUGUUUGAGAUGACACAGUUUGGUUACAAAUUUUGUGGGGGAGGAUUCUAGUUUGUAGUAAUCGGAUUAUAUCUUAUGUUGUUUUGGAUUUUGUAUGAGAUUAGUUGCCUGAAAGUUUUCGAGUUCAUGUAUUCUAUUUGUUGAGUUUUUUGGCUUCUUGAUAGAUGGAACAAUAGAUGGUUCUGAUUAUUUUGAUGAUUUAGAAUCACAAGUUAUUGAAGGAACUUGAGAAUAAAUAUGAAAUUUGAUUGUCUUGUAGAAAUGGAGAUAGAUAUGCUGGUGAAUAUUUUGGAGAUAAAGUCCAUGGUUUUGGCGUCUAUCACUUCUCGAAUGGUCACUGUUAUGAGGGAUCAUGGCAUGAAGGACGAAAACAAGGUUAUGGCAUGUAUACUUUCCGAAGUGGUGAGACGAGAUGUGGCGAAUGGGAUGGUGGUAAACUUAAGGCGUCCCUUCUUCCGCUAACUGAUUCAGUUCUGCGAGCUGUUCAGGUAACAAUGUUACUCCUCUCUCAAAGCACAAUAAGGUUACUUUUCUAGAAAAUAAGUUUGAAUAAAAUCUAGAUGGACUAACUUCUAAGCACAACCAAACAUGCUCGUAUGUUCACUCUUAACUCUCGUUUUCUCUUGUAUUGUCCAGGCUGCUAGAAAAUCUGCGGGAAAUGCAAUAAAACUCUGCAUGGUUGAUGAACAAGUGAACAAGGCUGUUAUGGCAUCAAACCGAGCUGCUACUGCCGCCAGAGUUGCUGCUGUUAAAGCUGUUCAGAACAGGAUCGAUGGAAAAUUCUGCGAUACUGAUGUUUAAGUAUUGUCCAUAAAUUUAAAUCUUCUAAGUUGUUCUUGCGUAGAAGGUAUAUGAGCACCCCGAUAAGCAAAAACUCGUCGGAGGUUGAGUGUAUGUCGUGGUUUUGUUUCAACUAAGUAAUCUGUACAUGUUUCAAUCAUAAUUUCAAUGGGGAGAAAAAAAAAAAAGCAACUUUCAGCAAGUUCUUAUUUUGCUCAAUUCUACUUGCUAGUUGCUAUAAUGUUUCGAUUGAUUGUGGUAUUGAUUGGAUACCAUAAGAUUUGAAAAAGUAAUAAAGUAACAUCUUUGAACAAAUAAAGGAUUUAUAUAUUUAGAUUCGAAAACUUUGGAACGACUGCGAAAAAUAUGGGAAGAAUUGGCAAUAAAGUGACAUCUACGAACAAGUCUCCCUUGACCUUUGUUUUAGUUUGAGAAGGGAACAGCAAAAAAGCAAAUUCAAAAUCUUCGAAGGGGAUUGAAUCGAGAAUGGACAUUUUUUGGUCACUACAUUCAAUGAUCAUUAUUAUUUUUCGAGGUCCAGUGCAUUAGAUUCUCUCAUAUUGGUCCGUAUUUGGUUUUUGAACUAUAUUUUUCUAUACAUAUUGUAAAGAUCGAUCUAUACAAGUACGCAAAAAAUAAAUGAUUGAUCUCAACACAUUAUUACACGUUAAAUACGUUAAAUUGUAUAUGAUUAAAUGAAUAAAUCAGAGCACAUGAUCCCACAUGAUCGAGUUCAGCGUAUCAAAUAUAUAUAAUCAAAAUCAAAACACAAAAUUUAUAAAAGAAAAAAACAGGCACUUUUCUUGAUGUGGGGUGCCCAUAAUUCUUUAAACUCGUGAGUGAUGUGCCCUUUUCAUCUUCAAGUUGAAUAAUUUGAAAGAUUGUUCAUUAUUCUUAUGCAAGCACGUGAUGGAGAGGCGAGGAGAGGAGAGGGGAGGGGAGGGGAGGGCAGGAGAGGGGAGCGGAUGGGUGGUCUUUGUUCAAAGAUCAGAUUAAUAACCCAAAUGGUGAUUGACUUUGCAAAAAGUUUUCACCAGGUCACUGAACUUUAAAAAUCACUCAAGUUAUCACUGAAUUUUGCAAAAUGUUUACACGAGGUCACUAAACUUUAAAAAUCACUCCAUUUAUCACUAAACUUUGCAAAAGAUUUGCAAAGUUAAAUGAUGAAUGAGAUAAUUUUUAAAGUUCAGCAAUCUCAUGGAAACUUCUUGAAAAGUUCAGUGACCCUCUAAAAAUCUUUUGCAAAAUUCAGUGAUGAUUUGGAUGAUUUUUAAAAUUCAGUGAUCCAAUGAAAACUUUUUACAAAGUUCAGUGGCCAUUUGGGUUAUUAACUCUUCAAAGAUCUGAAACCUUUUUUACAUGCAUGUUUGAUCCAUAAUCUAUGUUUCAUCAAUUUUUUAUGCGAGAACUUUUUGCUUCUUUUUCAGUAUUCAAAUAAAGGGUCUGCAGAUUUUUGUUCUUUGCUUAAAGAUUUGCUUUAUCCACCAUCUCAGAUUCAGAUCUCAUGCAAUUUUAUCAAACUUCAGACGCGCAUUGGCAAAAGUAAAUCAGUAAAAGCACUUUUAGUUAGCAUUUGUGUUUGAACAUCUUUGAGUAUUGAGUAAAGUUCAUUUUUACUAAGUUACUUUUUCUUACCUUAUUGGGAAAUAAGUAACUUAUUUUAAUUUUGAUUGAUGAAAUAAAUAUUUAGAUCGUACUUAACUUUUAUGUAUGUAUUGUGACAAAAAAUAUAUUAUCAUCAUAUUUGGAAAUUUCAUCCACUUACUGUAAAAUAAAAUUGUACUAAUGAAUAUUUAAAAAUCGAUUUGAACGUUGACCCUAAAAUGGAAUAAGGGAAAUGGUCGAACCGAGAAUGAUAAAGUUAUUUUUAAAAAAAAUAAAAUAAAAAGAAAGAUUCUUCUUUUCUUUUUAAUAAUGAAGUUUUAAAACCCGAUUCUAAUUUAUCAAGUGAAUAAAAUGUGCUAUUGAACUCUUGUAACAUGUUUAAAAUUUUUUGUUUCUAUAAUAUAAUUAGACUGAAUUUCGAACUAAUUUCAACUGAAAAUUGAUCGAACCAAUCCAAUUGAGCAUCUACAACAUUAGUAUGGACUAAAUACGAUUCCGAAUAAAUCUGAUAAUUUCACAUUUUUUGAUUGUUGUACUAAUUUACAAAGUAGAGAUGAGAUCAAACACGACAAGCCGUAAACAAUCAUUAAUAAAGGUCAUUUCUAGACAACUACAUACCUAAGAUGGGUAAGAAUAUUACCUGUCAAAAUCACAAAAAAAAAAUAAAAAAAUAAUAAUAAAUAAAUAAAUAAAAUAAAGACUUUUAUAUACCGUAGUCUAUUAUCCUCUAUUAUUACAAGGUUAACAAAUUUUGAGGUCAACAAUGUUGAGCAUGUGAAUUCACCAUAGGUUGCCAUUAUCUCAAGCAAAAUUCUUCUGUAGCUUGGGACUACACAUCAGCCAUGACUUAGCCAUUUUCUUUAAAAAUAUUUAAUCAUUAUAAAUAUAUCAUUAAUUAUAGUGUAUAUCUGUCCCGUAUUUUAUAAUUAAAUUAUUUGUUGCUUACUUAGAUUGAUGGAAAUAUUGAAUAAAAUAUUGGUAGUGUCUCUGUUUUGGUCACCCUGAGAGGGAUAUUUCCGAACUCACAUUAUCCCAAAACUUGCUUUGAAUUAUUUAUUUAUUUUGAGGAAUUUUAUUGCAUUCUUAAAUCUCUGAUAAGGUCAAUUUGUAAGACAGCUUCUGUCUUAUCUUCUUGUCAUUUUUAUUUUAUUUCUAGAAGUAAUUAAAAAAUUCAAAUGAGCAAUUUGAUUAUAGUUGAAUUUCAAAAUUGACAGUCUAAACGAGCCACUAACUUGUGGUAUAUAUUAACGGAUGUAAGAGCUUGAACUACUUUUGUUAACAAUAUCGACAGUUUGAGAUAGAACUCAAAAAUUCAAUCUGUACAUUAUAUGUGUAUCUUUUUUAAUUGAGGUCCUUCAAAGCAAAAAAAAUAAAAAAUAAAAAUGGUGGGGAAAAAGAGUGAACUAAUGCAAAUGGGAUUUCAAAUUUCAAAUUUUUUAAAGUUUCACUUACCAUUAGAAAAAAAUAAAAUAAAAUAAAAUUUGACUAAAAUAUUAGGUCCUUAAUUUGUAAUUGCCAUUAUGCAUAUGGGAUUUUGAUGUGAAAUAUUGUAGCUGUAAUUAACGAGAUAGGUGUUGAUUUGUUCAACUUUAUUUUCUCGCUACUACAAUCCCCGACUUCUAUUAUUUAGGUAGAUUGUAAUCAUAUUUUAAUUUCGUAUUCACUUCUUCGAUAAAUUUCGUAUUUUAACCCAAAAAAAAAAAAACAAAAAAACAAAAAACAAAAGCAAAUGUCUAUUUGAACAUAAUUGUGAUAAAUAAUAUACUUUUAGAUUUUUUGAGUUCAUUAUUGGAUAGAAAUCAUUGAUGCAAAUGCAUUGAUUCUAUAUUAUCAUCAUUGUAGGAAUUCCCCCUUGCUGGCUGUCCCUAUCUUAUCCAAGUCAUGGAGUAUUUUCCACCCUUAUGUUAUGGAUGAAGAUCAAGUUGCUUUGAACUCCUAAUACUAUGAAUUAGAGGAGAUCAUCAAUAAUGGUAAUUAUUAGAUUCUUUUGCGAUACACACACACGUGUAAUAUACAACUAGCAUAUACUGUACCGAAACAUAAGAUCAAAAUGAAUGCAAGACCAUUCGAGAGGAUGUCCAAGAUAAAAAGGAAUGAGGGAAAGAAUCAACGAAAAAUCUAUAACAUAAAUCAUUAAUAAAUAAAUAAAUGAGCGUGAGGAGAAUUCUCAACUAGAGAUAUUAGAAGGCCAAAUGUCAAUUGGUGUUGGAUCUAGCUACUACAAUUGCUUUUGUUGAGCUAAUAUCAAUAUUUGAAAAUUUCCUUAGUUCCUCAUUUCAUUUCAUGACCGUGAAAUUCAUCAUCGAUACCCUCCAAACUUUAGCAUAGAAAUACUCAUUCUUCUAGUUAGAUAACCGCGUGUGGUUAUUCUUUUUCACUAAACUGCCCUUAAAAUACCAAUCCCUUUAUUAAUUUAUGAGAAAUUAAGGAACCAAUUAUGACAACGGUAAGACACCUAAUUUGAUCCCUCUUGAACAUCUAUAUGCAUAAUGGUUUAUUGAAGCAAUACAUAAAUAAUUGCAUAGAAAAUAAAAUUCUUACUUCUUACAAGAAACUCUCAAUUUGACUUGUUCCUAUGUUUUGGAGUAACCUCCAAGAAUGAGCAUUCCUUCGUUUUGGAAGUGGUUCGUCAUAGUCAAACUUGACUCAAAUUUUAUGCAAUUAAAAUAUAUAUAGUUCAAACUAACAUUACAGUUGAAAAAUUGAGAUACUUUGGAAAUUCAUCUAAAUUUUUUAAAAUAAUCAAGAUUUAAAUUCAACAUAACUUGACUCGACUCGACUCGAUAUCUAUGCACCCUAAUAAUAAAUAGUCAGCUCUUUCAUUAGCAAUCGAAUAGUUGUCCUAGAUGAUAGGUGAGUUGAAACUUUUCCUUGAUUUUUUUUUUUUUGGGUGACGGAGUACUUUUUAUAUAAUUUUGGUAGUAAAAAAUGCCAUUGCUAAAAUGAGGUAUUGAUUUAUAGCUCAUUACAGUGUCUAUGCUUCGUAGUAACAAUUGAGUUUCUAGACAAUGGAAUCAAUUUGUACGACUCAUCUAACUCAAGCAUGUACAUAUUAUUUUUGGAACAUGUUCAGCGAAAUUGUUUUGUCUAUUUAAUGGUGAGUUUGGCAUCUGAUGAUGUCUACCAGUGCAUGUUACAUUUCAGAUCUAUCAAAAUGAUUGAGGAAAGAUCGUACCACCUGGCUUAAAUAGUCUUUUAUUAAUGCAUUGAAGCAUAUGCUUGCAACAAUCCAUUGUCUAAUUGGGAAUCAUGAAGGUACGAGUCAGGUUAUGUCUCGUAUAUUUAUUACAAAAAUAUUUCUAGUAAAAUAUACGUAAAGCCGAAUAUUUAUAUUACAAAAGUUCACAAAUUAUUUUUGGACAACUAGUCGAGAGAAAAUGAAAGUCUAUAAUCUUCAACUGAAAAUAGAGAAAAUUUAAGAUUGUGCUAUAGAUUGUUCGUUUUCGACGUUUAAUCUAGUUUAUAGGGCUGAACAUUAUCUAGUUUGGUUCAAUUCUAACGAAAAUCGAAUCGGUUUUGAAAUUUUCGAAUAUUCAGUAAGUGGAACCGUCGAGUCCAAAUUUAAUUAUGGAACCGUUCGAUUUUGGUUUGGGUGGGUUCGAUUCAGUUCUCAAGUUUCGUACUAUAGUUAAAUUUUUUAAUAUUUACAAAGCUACAUUAAUUCAACUAAUAACAUGUUUAAUAUUAACUUUUACAAAAUAACGUUGUUCAAUCUUGUUUCUUUUGCGUCUAUUUUUAUUGAAUUCUUUAUAGAUUUAAUUUUUAAAAUCAUAGGAAUAGGAAGAUAGUUAGCUCACAAUAAUUAACAGAUGAGUUGUUGAGUUUCAAUUCAAUUUCACGAGAACGGUAGAAACGACACUAUGGUAUAAUAACAAAUUUGGGUAAAAUUUAGGUCAAUUUGAUUAAGUUGGACUUAGACUGAAAAUUAGAAACAGUAAAAUCAUAUUUUUGAGUUUGAGCUAAAUUAGCUAGUUAGCAAAUAUAUUUAGAAAAAAUAAUUUAGUUUAUUUAAAAUAAAUUAAUUAAAAAAAUUAAGGAGAUUCGAUCAAGAAGUUAUCGAAAAUUUUCUCUGAGAAUUUAGUUCAAGGGACAAAUAGCCUGGGAGAUUUUCCACCGAAUAUUGAGGAUGAGGCUUGAACUAAUGACUUCCACCACGUCAAGGUGACACUCUACGGCAGGGUUAUAUACUAAUUAAUCGAUAUUCAUAAUCAUUCCGAAGUAACAUAAAGAAAAGCAAUGAUUGGAGUGGGAGCAGUGAAUCCUCAAACGACCUAUCUAAGAUUAGGGAGGGGGGGUGGGGGGUAAAGUAUUCGUUUGUAGUAUUGUCAUUACACAACCUAGUCCACCCCUAUUUUCAGAGUUCACACUCUGAUCUAGCAAAUCGACUUUUCAGAUUAGUUUCAUAGUUUUGGACAGGACAGGUAGGAACCAGGGUGUCAAGCGUCUUUGAUUGAAGUUUUUCUAUUUAGAAUCGAGUUAGAUCUAAAUCCCUUACGAAUGACAAGGUACUCCUUUACUUUCACUUUUCGAUUCUUGAUUUAGAAUAGAGAAUCAAACCAAAUCCGUCGAUUUUCGGUUCAGAUACUCGUUACAAUAUUUAACUUAAAAAGAAUCGCUCGAUUUGGUUCGAUUCAGGUCUGAUUCAAUCAGUUCGAUUCUGAAGUUUUGUCUUGCCUUAGUAGUUUGUGUUAAUUUCUAUUAAGGGGUUGUUUGACCCCCAUUUUUUUUUUCUCCAAAAAAUGCAUUUUCAAAUAGUGUUAUGAUGAAAAUAAGGAAAAAUUUUGAAUUUACAUAUAAUAUUAUUUUAUUAAAAAAUGCGUAAAGUCAAAUCACUAUUGAAAAAUGUAUAUUGAUGAAAAAAUGGACCUCAAACAAAGGCUAACCCUUUCUCGGCCAUUCUUGAUUCACUUGUUAUCUCUUUACUUAUUUGGGCCAAAAUUUCUGGUUUUGGAUCACACACAGAGGACCUGACUAUUGACAACAUCAAAACUGCCCUCUUUUCAUUAAAAAUCGAUAUUUUACAUGUACCUCAUUUUUAAUACACACACCCACCCACACACCAAUUCAUUAUUGAAAGCCUGAAACCAGACCUAGGUUCCCUUCUAUAAGGCUAUUAAUGAGAAUCUAGUUAAUCUCAAAAAUGACCUUCAAUUGGAAUAAAGGAUAGUUCAAUUCUAUUUGAUUUGUAAAAAAUACUUGUUUGCUAAGGUGACAAUGACUUUCUUGGACUUCUGGCAUCACCGAAAGGAUCGAAACCACAUUUGUAGGCCAACAAUUUUUCUGUAUAGGUAGAACUAUUGCAAGAAAAUAGAAAAGGAAGAUCGAGUGGAAUCAAAAAAACUAGCGAACUGAUCACUGAAUUGAUACAAAUAGGUGAAAAUUCGGAUAUUAUAUUGAAGACCAUAUUUCAAUUUUUCGUUAAACAUCAACAUUUUUUUACGAAUUACAUGUAAGGGUAACUUGUGGGUUACUCAUAAAGUAUUUAUUAAAAUAUUAUUUAAAAAAGAUGUCUUUUAAUCGAAACACAAUGUCAUAGAAUGGUGAAAGUGAAAUUUGAUAUUAGAUUGAAGUUCAACAACCAAAUUGAAACGAAUUAAAGUUUAGGCAUUGAACGUUACCUCAUAGGAAAUUUAACCAGAUACAAAUAGAUGUCUACGCGGUUGGGGGGUGGGGGGUGGGGUGGAUAAUAUAGAACAUUUUUCUAUAAUAUAAAUACUAGUAUAUAAUUGCCAUUUAAAAAAGAAGUAACAUGUCUAAUACAAUGAAACCAACCUAACACAAGCCUUUCAACCAGAAGAAUAAGAAAAUGAUAUUGAUAAGCAAAGUCCUCUGCAAAUAUUACACCAGUAUUCAAACAACAAUCAUGUACUCGAAACUUAGAACGCGAUUUGCAAAAAUCGGUCAUGUACUCAAAACUUGGAACACGGUUUGUGAUAUGCACAUAUUUGUUCGAGGACAGUUGAGUAGAAACGCAGUUUUUUCUUUUAUUCACAUUUAACCAUAACAUAUAAUAUGCUGAUUAUGUUUAUAAGGACAGUUGUAAGCAGUAAAGCAUUCACUAUCCAUUCCCCAUCCAACUCUCCUACAAAAUUUAACAAGACUAACCCAUUGCUCAAGACAGUUUAUUGCCAAAAUGCCGCGGCAAUCUUCUUCUGGAUAAGCUCAACUCCAAGGCGAGGAGAUAAUCUCGGAAGUGUCUCCUGCAACAGAUGAGAAGAUUUGUGUGACUUUCAACCUUGGAUGACUGCCGUGGUCAAAAGGAAAUCCAAGUGAAGAUGUUAAACACAGAAAUAUUUCAGUAAUUUAUCAAUGCGGCCGAAUCAAAAUUCAGAUGCUGAAAACUCGUACUGACAUAAGUAUCAACAAAGACCCCUGUAGUAACUGAAGGCCCAAUCCUUCUCUAAAGCUGUAAGUCGAACAGGACUAGCAUUUGAAUGUGAUUGUUUUUAAAAUGUAUGUGGAAGCCCCAUAUUUUUCAGGCUAGCCCUAUUCAUUUUGUCUAUUACAUCGUUGUUUCACUUUAGUCGACCCUUUUUUCUUUUCUUUCGGGCCAUAUUAGUUUGAUAGGAAUUCUUUUUUCAUAUAAGCUUAGGCAACCUGUCUAACUCCAUCAAAUACACUAAAUGGAAAAUUUGACAUUGCAUGCUGACAUGGAAUGAUUUAUUAUUUCUACAUGUCCAGGUGCACAAGAGUGGAUCGCAAAUUAAAGUUGGUGACCAAAGUGAAAUCGAUCUUAACUAUUUUUCUAAAAAUGGCGAUGGCAAAUGAAAAUAAAAAACAAAACAAAACAAUAUCCUCUGCUAAUCUAUUGGUCAGAAGAAAUAGAUGAAGGAUACUGAGUACUAGCAAUUAUCUUCCUCUCAUUUAUAGUGUGGGUGACGAAAAUAGGAGGCAUGUUAAAUUUGGCGAGUAGGUUUGUAAUGGUUAUUAUAGUCAUCAAUCAUUUUUGGGUACUUUUUCAUUCGGCAUGGGGGAGAGGGGAGGAGAACAGAGAAUGUUUAGCGUCCAUAAUAUAUAUACAAAUAAAAUAUAGGAUUAUCAUUAGUUGAUGAGUCUAAUACAGCUGAGAGACGUUCAGUUCACCAGAUCCGAUUGAGGGGAUCAUCAUACUUUGAUUACAUGGUACCGCGGUAAUAAAAAGGAAUUCAGAGGUGUCUCUCGCAACAAAUAAAGCAUGAAAGGCUAAUGCUUUAUAAUACCAACAAGGUCGAGCAUUUGAUUAUACUUGAUGGACUUAUAAGUUAUAUCUUUAGUCCACGAGAAAUAUGAUAAAAUUCCAGAUGUUGUACAGAGCACAAUAUGAAUCGGACUGUACAGGAAGAAAAAUUGUAGCAAUUUGAGAGGGAUAUGUGUUUGUACCUACAACAAUUUGUGUGAUGAUUCCAUUCCCAAUCCCCACAUGAAUUGCCAAACGUUUAAUUACACAUUCUCCUAAAAAUCACUAUUCAAAACAUUGUUUGUCCACAAUUUAUACAUCUAAAAGUUGAUUUAGUAAGCCUCAUUCCACAACAAUACAUGACUAAAUGGAAUAUAAGGCUCAACUGGACUGCUUAUUGACAUGAGCUUCAUUAUAACGAGUAGAGCUCCCAAUUUUUCACUUUUUGGUUUAGUUUCACGUUAAUUUUCCAGUAGCAGAUAAGACUUCAAAUUUUGUUAAAAUGUCUUUUUACAGAUUUUUUUAAAUGGUUCAUGGUUUAUGACGAAUAUAACUGUCUAUUUUAUAGCUUUAAAAUUUUGGGUUUACAUUGGUACUUGUGUCUUAAAGCAACUCAAGGCUGCAUCACCAUGGGAAGCAUAACGCCUCAAUUCCUGACUUAGCCUUUUUUGUACACUGAUUAUAUCUAGCAGUGUUUCCAGCAUCUAAUUGCUGAGACAUGAAUCAUGAAUGGUUUAAUUCAAUUUCUCAGAAGCACUUGCUUUCUAAGGUAACAACACUUUCUAAUUUCUUGAGUUUUCAUAUAGUCGAUCCUAAGUAGUUCUCCAUCUAUUGCUACAUUACUCAUUGUCAAGUAUUUUACCAGCAAGGUUCAUAUCAAUAGUGGACUUAUAGAGACGGUACAAGACGACACAGCGCUCCUGAGUUUCCAGAAAUUCUAUAAUUUCCCAUUAAAAUAGUAAUUUUUUACAAUAUCUUUAGGAAAUUCACCUCUCAAGGACUGUAAUCAUCCUCUUCCCUUGUUCAAUAGGAAGAGAAAGGGAGCUAAAUUCCACUAGAUACCAAAUUCAAAACAUUAGAUAAGUUUGACUGAAUAUUUGAAUAAAACAUAACAUAGCUCCCUCGAAGAUAUGCAAACCUAAGUCACCCUCCAGUUGUAAAUCGUGGAUCCAAUAUUGGAUAGCUUAACACAUGGUAAUCAAUUGUCUAUGUUGGAAUGCUGCUUCACUUUAGCCCAAUCUAACGUUCUGAUUCAUGUUGAUCAAGUCUAUGCAGCAGUCACCACUUUAAAGCAGUGCAUCUACUAGACGUGAUUGGACAAUAUAAUUUACAAAAGCUGAUUUCUCUUCUUUAAUAUUGUCCAGCACUCAUCAAUCAUUUUCAACAAACAUGCCACGGGUGUUAUUGUACAAAUGUUCGUAUUUUUCUAGAUAAUUAACAACUCAAAGUUGUUAAAUUAACAGCAAAAAUAAAAAAACCUGAACAAAAGAAAUGAUAAUUAAGAAAGUAAUAACUAACCUCAGUGCCAUCAUCAUGGAUUCUUGCCAAUACCGGUAUCUCAUACUGGUAAAGCCUCUCCCAAUCAGGAUUACUUGUAAUAUCUCUUAUCUGCAAAAACCCAUAUCAAUUGUUAUAUGCAACUGAAUUAGCCAUAACACAUCACAAGAUUUGUAUUCUGAACCAGGUGCAUAUGAGACCAAACUGCUCAAAGUCAAAGGCUGUUCACUCGGCGAUUAACCAACACUGGAGGUAAUUCUGUUGAUAAUGGUUUUUUAUCAAAUCAAUUCUUCCAUGCACUGGGUGUAUUACACUAGUAGUUCACUAUGUCGGAGAGAACAGAUACAAUGUUUUAAUGUCCCGAUACAUGAAAGAAUUCAAACCCCGUAUGGUUGAAAAAUAUUAUAACCACAUCGGCAGAAUUCAAGCUUAAAACUGGCUAACGAAAGAUGCGUGCUCCUGUGCAUACAAGCCCUCAUGCGAAUAAUUAGUUUAACACUUAAAAUCAGCUUAUAGUAGGAAACUCCACGUGUCAUUACAAUUCACAUAACCACUCUCCUACCAAAAGUAGCCCCUAUAUUUCAAGGGUGAAAAACUCCCUACCCUAUACCAAUUGUUACAACCACAUGGAGUUAAACUCACCCACAAAAACAAUAUACAAGGGGACGGUGCCUCAGUGGUUUUAACUUAAAAGCACAUAAAUAGAUAAAUAGAAUUAUAGAACUCUAUCCUAACUAUCCCGGAAGGGAGAGGAGGCUGUAUUUGUAGCCAAAUGCUCAGACCACCGUCCUACAACAUACUUAGGAUCAGUGCUGCAAACUUUAACUCAGCAAAAUGUGAGACAAAAUUAGCGUCAUUACAAUCUAAAGAUAGUGGCUUUUCAAUCAGAAAGCUAUAAAAUUCAAAAAAUGGAUUAUAGUUGAUGUAAAACCUGUAAUUGGACGUCGUGGAGGGAAUUUUGACCAGAAAGAGCGAAGGCAGCAUCAAGCUUUUCUUUGAGGCCAUCGCACAAACAGCAUCCGGGCUUGGAAUACAUUAUGAGUGUUCUUGGCACUGCCGAUGAAGAUGAAGAGUAGGAAGAGGAUGCCGACUGACUGAAGAAUGCCCAUUUAGCAUUUUUCCGAUUCAGAUUUACUCCUAUUCUUACUGCAGGCAAUACUUGUGGUCUUACUACUGCAAUUCCCAUUGCAAUCCCUGCUGCCAUUUUUGCUCUCCCUCCCCCGGAUAAGGCGAUAACUGACACCUCUUUGAUUGAAAUCGCAUAGCGUCUUUGAAAAUAUAAAUAUGCGCUUUUAGUCGAAUUCUGGAGAAUUGGGCCAUCACGGCCCGCCUAAAGACACUAUCUUGUUGGGCUUGAGUGCUCAAAUUCAUAAGACCAACUUAUAAAAAUAUCCUUAAAAUUUAAAAAAAAUUAAAAAAUCAUAUGAAAAGUAUUUUAGAAGUAAAAAAUAUUGUAUAAAAUUAAUGGUCACUUUUUUGUCAUUUUUUAUUUAAAAGUGACAUUGUAUAUAAUUUUUUUUAAUAAUACAAUGUCACUUUAUCAAAAAGUGAUAUCUGUCACUUAAAAAAUUCAUAUAAAUUUUAAAUAAGGGAUAGAAAAAACACUAAAAAUUAUGUCACUUUUCGUUAAAAAGGAUGACAUAUGAACACUUAACAUUAUUACAAUAUAUCUGCUCUGAAAUGUAAACAUUAUUACUUAUCUGAGUCUCAUUUUUUCUAAAAACUCAAUCAUGAGGAGUAGAUCAGUGGUCAAAUCUUGAAUUUACUUUUCAAAUGUCACCAGUUCGAGUUUCCUCAAGACUAUUGAAAUGAAUACCCACGAUAUUAAAAAAAAAAAAAUCUAAAAAUUCAAUUUUCAAAACUUAUUUUCAACCAAACAUUUUUCAAUAAAAUAAUAUUACACUCAAAUUCAAAAAAAAUUCUUAAUUUUUAACCACACAUUCUCUAUCAAUCUACUAUUCCAAACUAUAUAAUUUCUCUAAAAUGGGGCUCAAACAAGGGCUAUAAUAUUGAAUAAGUGACAAAAGAAUAAUGUUAUUUACAAUCUCGCUCUGUGUGACAUACAAGCGAGAGUUGGUGAUUUGUUGUAUAAGGUAAUAAAAAAUUACCAUAUUAAUAUACUAAAUCACCAAUCGUUAUAUGUAUGUCAUAUAGGAUGACUAUGAUAACGAACGAUUGUAAAUAACAUUACUUGUGACAAAAACAUUGUAACAUAUAAGAGCUUAAUGUAUUCAUUAUGUCACUUUUUUGUUAUGCCAACAAUAAUGCCAUUAAAUACCUCUAAAAAAAAUCUUAUUAUUUAUUUUAACCUUCAGUAGCAAUUAACAAUAAUGUUGCUCUGGCAGCUCCUCUUGUCAGGCCUUUUACAGGUUUUCAUGUGAUACGAGAUCAUCUCAUUAAAAAAUUACCCCAUAAAAUACCGACGUCUUACUUGUGAGUAAGCCUGUAAAAGUUCUGACAAAGAAGCAUGGUUUAACAAUUAAAUACCUAAAUGUUGUGUAAGUCGCCCACCGAAGCUGAAUCCUUUUCUUUCCCUAGUUCUCCCGCAGAUCUCUGAGUUAUUAGACGAAUCAAAAUCCACAGUCCCAUUGCUUCCAUUGCAAUUACUGUAAAAGCCCCAAGAAAUAUUGACAACAAAAGCAACACUAUUGUUACCUCCUUUUCAGUUUCAAUUGCUACUGCCGUCCUGUUACUAUUAUUAUAUGCAAUAAGCAGUGAAAUUGGUAAACCUUUGGUUCCCAAAGAGACCAAAUCACGUGCACCCAAUGAAACGUUGUUCAUUAUUCCGUCGUAACUUGCUCCUAUGAACCCUCUCUCCAUUCCCACUUGAACUCCAUUCCUGUUAGUAGCCAUGUUCAGGGUUUUGGAGGUUUUGAGGAUUUUAUAAUGUAUUAAUUACGUGCUUAAAUAAUUUAAUUAGUUAAAUUUUUAGAGAGUACUGGCCUAAGGCUCUCAAUCGUGAAGGUGUCUGUUAAUUUCAUUUUUAUAGUUUUUGGAGUUAAAUUUUGUCAGAUUUCCUAUUUUAUAGGACUUUGUUUCGAAUACGUAACUUAUUUAUUUUUAAGUUUGAUGAAAAGAUUAACUAUUUACUUUAUUUAUCUCAUUCUUACAUAAAUUUUUAGCUUUUGAUAGUCAUUUUUACAUAAAAAUACAUUUUAGAAUAGUAAAUUGAUGUGAAAUUUUUGGUUAAAAAAUAAGAAUUUUUUUAUUUACGUGUAAUAUUAUUUUAAUAAAAAAUGUGUAAUUGAAAAAAAGAGAAAGAAAAAUGUAUUUUGAAAAAAUGGCUACCAAACGGGGCCAUAGUAACAUUACUCAAGCCCUAGUAAACUUAAAAAAAAAAAAAAAAAAAAAAAUUAAUUCGAUUUGGAAAUAUUGUUGGUAUAAAGAUAUAAGGGUUAUCGUGCUCAGACUUUAGAGCAUGUUCGAUAGUGAUUUGAGAAUUGAUUUUAUUAUCGUUAGAGAGAAAAGUGAGUUCCACAUGUAAGUAAAAAAGUAAAAAAUGACAGCUAAAAUAAUGAAAUAACAAUAAAAAAAUUAAUUUUUUUUGAUGAAAAUUUGCUAUCAAACGAGAGCUUAGCCCUUGUUUGAUUACCAUUAAAUUAAAUUACAUUACAUUCCAUUUUUCUCUCUCCUAUUUUCAAUCAUACAAUCUUACAUAAAAUAAUAUUACACAUAAAUCGAAAACUUUACCUUCUUUUUCAACCACUCAUUUUUCUAAAAAAUACUAUUUCCCCUAUUACCAUUUUCAGGUAAUGGGGGCCAAACAGGGGCUUAGUAAUUCUUCUCAAAUAAGAUCACGUGGGCCAUGUUUCUUGUGGCCCUAUUUAUGUGGUAACAAUCGAUUAAAUCUAACAUAUCAAAAAAAUAUGUCAAGAAACAGCCGCCGUAUGUUCACAACGUGUUGAACUAACACCCAGCAUCUGUACUGAAAAGACGAGUUGGUUUCAUGGUUCAGUUUCCAGUCAUUUCAUGUUUCGAUCAUUUUGAGAUGAAAUUUUGAUUCUGGAAUAAUAAUAAAUUAGAGAUCUACAAUAUUCGUAGAAAUUGUUAAAAAUGGGAACAUUUGUUUGUUGAAUUUCAUUGGUCAUCUUUAACAAACAUAUUACUGAGAAUAUAAUAAUACAAUGAAUUACUUAGUAAUAACAAUUUUAGAUAGAAAAUAAUUAAAGCUUUUUUUAGAAGCUCUUUCUAUUUGAGAACUUAUCCAAAUCAAUAGAACUGCAACUACUGUUAGUGAAAAAUCUUUGUCUAUACAAAUUUUGGACGAAGUUUUUGAAUAGAAUUUUCUAUAAGUGAGAUGUAAUCACUGUCGUAAAAAAGUAUAGAAUAAAAAUAAGUAUUAAAUAGACCAUAUUUUUGUUACAUAAUGCUCUACAAUUAUUUCUUGGUAUUGUAAUUUUAAAAAGGUUGAACCACAUAUUUUUUUUACACGGAGAUUUGUUAUCGUGCUUUUGCACAGAGCAAUGAAACGAAUAGAAAGACGAGAAAAUUUGACUUUAAGUUUAGAUUUAUUAAGAAUGUUCUAGGGUUUUUGGUGGCAAUUCAUUCUCACACACCUUAUUGUGUGGUGGGAAUCUAUCAAACUCGACAUUGGAGUCUUAGCACGCAAGCACUAAGUUUUGUAUCAUGAUAUUGUCUUCCAAAUGCUCUAAAGCUUGUAAAGAACUAAUACUCAUUUUCCAUAUGCAUGAGCAUCAUAUUUCAAAUUAUUUGAGAUAUAAUCAUAAAUUUUGUCUAAUAAUAUAAUAUAUGAGAUUUGAGUCCUCAUACGAGUCUCUUCAUAUUCAAAAAUAGUAAUAAGAUUGUCUAUGGACUCACAUCUUUUGCUACUUUAGUUAAUGAGUCAAUUAGUUUGUUAUAUUGCAUUCCAUACUUUAUUUUGUUUGCAAAUCGCGAUGAGUUAACUAGAUAAAAGUUUCUCAUUAAUCUUUAAAAAAAUAAUAAUAAUAAAUAAAAAUUGAUACAAGGGUUUUUUGUCAUGUAUCAUAAAUUCAUGCCAUCUUGUAACGAAAUAUUUUUGUUGAUCUAUGAUCUAUGACAACUCCUUUUCUCUUUCAAACUCGUCGAAACAAUUCAUGUUUUCAUGGCAUGUGUUGAGUCUUUAUGUCAAGCCUAGCUCAACUUGCAUAAUGCCUAGAAUUUUUACGCCGGUACACUAAUGACUCUUGUGUUGUGAGCUUAGUUUGUAUAAAAUCAUCUUAGCAUACUUUAUAACUCUAAUAGAACAAAUUUAAAGUUGAAGGAAUAGAUUAAAGUGAAUUAACAUGGAGUCUUAUAUAUGAUUGUGAACGUUCUAGAAUUGUUUCAUUAAAUAUAACAAAUAAUUAAAUUAUAUCAAAUAUAUUAAGAAUAAAAUUUAUUUUUACAUUGUUGUUUGAUUAUGAAUUAUCUCAACUUUGAAAUUUAGAGCAAAGCAACGUUACGUGCACACGGUGGUGGUUCAUAGGGUCGAUACAGGUCACACAUAAGAGGUGGGGUGGGUGGUUCAUUUUUGAAAAAACAAAAAAACAUCACAUGGGAAGCCCACAUGAGGGUCUGUAAAGACCUCGUCAACUAAUUCCCUAUUCAUUUCUAGCAUGAGUAGUAACAUCACUUCAUUAUAAGAGUCAACUUAUUCCAUGUGCUGUUGGUGUGGAAUCAGUGCUGAUACUGUAACUAAGGUAUUUAUCAUGUUUGGCCAGGUUAAAAUUACUUUAUAGAAUAAAUGUUGGAUUUAUUCUAUAUUAUGGGGAAUAAAAUUAUAUGCCUAACAGUAUUUUACGAUCUCCAUAAAGUAAAAUCAGCAAGAGAAUUUCUAAAAUUCGGUACGUCAGUUUUCAUUUUCCUUUUUCUUUUCCAAUAAAAUAUUAAUUUACUUAACAAAUGUUGGAUAUAUCUUCUUUUAUUCUUCUCUUUCCUCUAUUAUUCUAAAAAUAUUCUACUUUAUCAAAAUUUCUGUGUUUUGUAACAUUUCUAUGCAUCUUAUUGAGCACAAUUGCUUGCUAGACAUCAGUAUAUUUGGUGAAGUAUGUUGGACAUAAUAUAUAGCAUUAAAAAAUGACAAAAUUAAAACAUUUAUUUAUUAUAUUGUUCAAUCUCGUCUAGUUAUACAUACGAAACAUGCGCCUAAUCUCUAAGAGUAUUACUAUAUCAUAUAAUCGACAUUUUUUUGGAAUUGUAUGGGGGCAUUUUCUUAAGUGAAACUUAAAGAAUAUAGAAUAAUAUUGUUUGUACAAAGUGCAAAUCAUCCACAUCAAUAUUAUUUGAGUAUUUGAAAUUUUGUAUAUUUAGGCUCUGUUUGAGCCCCAUUAUUUUCUUAUUAAAAUGAAAAAUAUGAUCGUUAUCUAUCACAUCAAGUCAUUAUAUUUGACUUUUUAUCUCUUGUGCGAGGUCCAUAACGCUUAUAUUUUUUAUUCUCAUUUUUAUAAUAAUGUGGCUCAAACGGGGGCUUAGAAUAUGAAAUUAUCAAUAAAGUCCUCUUCGAAGAUUGUUUUAGAGAUAAUUGCAGCAGAAGUCCCAAAUCUUGGAAAUACUAGCAGAUUUUUCCCAAAUCUUUGAUUUGUUGUAGCCCCCUAAUAUUUUCAAACGUUGCAUGUAAGGCCUUUUUGGAAGGUUUUCAUGCAAAAUUUCAUCAAUUGACCAAAAAAAAAAAACGAUUUUGACCACAUUUGAAUAAAUUUUAAAUGGAUGGAAUGGUAACUUUACAUUAAAAUAAAAAAUUUAAAAAUAAAAUUGGUCUUCUUCCCUAACCCACCCCAAAUCCACCCUCACCCCACAGGCGGAUUGGAAAAUUGAAGCACUAAAACCAACCCACAAAUGCAGCUCUCCUUUCAGUGUUGAUCCCUUGGAAUUUCCAGAUCCUAGUAGGGUAGGGUGGAUUAGGAAAGAAAAGAUCAAUUUUAUUUUUUGAUUUUUGAUUUAAAAUGUGAUCAAAAUCAUUUUUUUUUGGUCAAUUGAUGGAAUUUGGGAUGAAAACCAUCAAAAAUAGCCUCACAUGCAACAUUUGAAAAGAUUAUGAGUGACAGUUACAACAAAUCAAAGGUUUGAAAAAAGUCUGCUAGUAUUUCAAAAGUUUGUAACUUCUGCUGCAAUUAUUGACCUUGUUAUUAUAUAAUAUUAAACUUCUAUUGAGUGCAAAUAAUUUAUUUAUUCUUCGGAUUUAUGUGUAAGGACGAGAUAACUAUAGGCCUAUCUACAACUAUUUGAUUUGCUUAUUAAAAAAAUAAAAAUCCAAUCAAAGAAAAUUAGUCAUGUACCUAAUAAACAAGAUAAAUAUGAAUGGCAUUUUCAAGGAGAAUGCACUCAUCAUCCCACAAUCCUACAUGUAUCACAUAGCACUAAUCCCUAAUAAAUAUUUGGUGGUCAUUCAGCAAAAUAUAAUAAAAAUAAUUUAAUUAUGAGUGGUUCAACAUAGUAUAAAAGCGGUAAAAAAAUUGAACUCAAGUGGCAUGGGCUACAUAGGAAAAUUGUGCACUUCUAUUCAAUAAAAAAAAUUAGCAUGACCAUUCAUAUGUGAAAGGACACGUUUAGAGUUAAUUUCAAAACAAAUAAUUGUACUGCCUUUAAUAGUUUAAUUUUUUAGUUGAAAUAGUUAACCAAUAACAAAUUAAACUUAGAAAAAUAUUUAACAUGCGGUGGAGAUUCAUGUUAAACUAUUUAUCUUUCUUUUAGGAUUAUUUUAAUUAGUGGAAAGAUUCUAGUUUCUUGAAUUUGAUUCCUAAAGGGGAGUAGAGUUAGUGCGCCAAUUUACAAGAAUUAUUCGAUCUUUUUUGCUUUUGAUUUGUGUAUAAAAGCCCAAAACUUCUCAUUUUUGUAUGUCCUAGGCAUUUACAAUUGUGUAUAGAAAAAUUAGAGAAUGAGAAUGGGAGAGCAAUCCAUAUGGGGGAUUACAAGUAUGGCUUUCAAUAAGUUGAAGCCCUAUUUGGCCAUAGUGUCUCUACAAUUCGGCUACGCUGGAAUGCACAUUAUCACCAUGCUUUCCUUCAAGCGUGGGUUCAGUCACUGGAUUCUAGUCGUGUACCGCCAUGCAGUUGCCACGAUGGUUUUUGCGCCUUUUGCAUUUUUACUCGAAAGGUCAGUACAUCAUUCAUAUAUAUGUGCAUAAGUGCAUGUAUGCCACGCAUUUUAGUUUUAUUUCUCCUUAUAAUAAAAUUCAUUUUUCUCUCUGGGUGUGUGUAACAAUGCUAUUUACAUGUUAAUUUGCAGGAAAAUAAGGCCUAAGCUAACCCUAUCAGUCUUUUUGAAGAUAAUGCUGCUUGCUUUCCUGGAGUAAUCUUCUUGAUCACUUCACUUAUUUACUACAAUAUAUUGCUCUUUUGCGCCAUUUACAAGAUUUUUAUCUAAUAGUAUAGUUCAGUCGACCUUAUCUGCAUUAAAUAAACACAAUAAAAACGAUUAGGCCGUAUAUGACCAAAAUUUGAACUUAUUUGUCAUUUUUGUAUUAUCAUCAGGCCUGUCCUGGAUCAAAACUUGUAUUAUGUUGGAAUGAAGUAUACAUCAGCAACUUUUACAGCAGCAAUUGUCAACGUUCUCCCAGGCAUCACCUUCAUAAUGGCUGUUAUUUUCAGGUAUAUCUUUACUUUCCCAGAUUCAUUAACAAAACUUUGUAUUAUACUAGUUUGACGGGGUUCAAAGGUGAAAAGAGAGUUAGAUCGAUGUGCACGGCAUAACUUUCCCCUUUUUUUGUGUAUUUAUUCUUAGUUGAGUUUGAGACGACAUCAACCAAAAUAUACUAAUUAAAAAAUGGGAAAAUUGUAGCAGUGGUUCCAAACCUUUUCAAUUUUUGAAGACUUUACCCUAACUUUCACUUUGUGUCAACAAAGAUCCCUAACCUUUCAGAAAUAUGCACCUAAGGUCCAAAUUAAUGGAAACCCAUCCAUAUGAACUUUAGCUGACCAAUAAAAUUGAACUUUGAACAAUUUUGACUAAUUUAAAAGUGUAAAAGUGUAACUUUGCUAUUUAACUCUAUAAAAAAAUUAAAAUAAAUAAUCAAAACAAAAUAAAAAUAAUAAAAGGAAAAAAAACUAUUCUUCUCACACCCCUAGCCUCCCAAAUCAACCUCUUCAUUAGAAUUGUUACUUCUCCAACAUAAAGAAUUUCCCACCUGAACCUUAUUUCCCUCACAAUACAAAUACCCAUCUUCAGAUUUUGUGAAACAAUGCUAGAGAUUCUGGGUUUGGAGCUCAACGAGAGACAUAAUUGCUCGUAUGCACAAAGAUGCAAUUUUUGAAGUAGGCUUGAGUUUGAAGGGUGAAAUGGGUUUUAUGGGAAACCAAGUAAAUGGGGAUUUCGGGGAUUUUAUGGAAAGGAUUGUUGGGGUUUGAGAGAGGAGGUUUAUAGCCGCCAUUGUUAAGAGAAAGUGAAGAAAAUGCAACCUUUACACAAAGAAAGAUGAUUUUUUGGUUUUGGUUUACGGUGGUGGCUGGCGAUGGCCGGAAGUAGCAGAUGGUCGGCGAGUUGUUUCUAGAUUUUGGUUCUUUCUUUUUUUGUAGGUUGGGGGGGGGGGUGUAGGUGAGAUGUGUAAGAAGAUGAUAUUUUAUUUUUAUCUUUUCUCUCUUUUUAUUUUGUUCUGUUUUAUUUUAUUUCUGGGUUUUUCAUUAUUUUAUGUAUAUAAUAACAACGUUAACAUUUUACCCAUUUUAAUUUGAUCAAAAUUAGUCAAAGUCCACUUUUGUUGGUUCAACUAACGGUCAAAUGGAUAACAUUUGGAUCCCAAGUGCAUAUUUCUGAAAGUUAGGAACAUUCGCUGGCACAAAACGAAGGUUAUGGUAAAAUCUGCGAAAAUUGAAAAGGUUUGGGAUUAUUGCUACAAUUUCCCCUUAAAAAAAUUUAGAAGUGUCAAAAUAGGCAGAUCGCCCCAAGCCGGGUUCGCCUGUGAAAAGUCCAAGCUGAUAACCAGUCUAGACUUGGCCCCUGAUGACAUGUUGCCCAUGUAGACAUUUUUAUCCAUAAUAAUAAUAAUAAUAAUAAUAAUAAUAAUAAUAAAUAAAUAAAUAAAUAAAUAAUAAUCAUUUUUAUUUUACUUUUACUAAAAUUCUUUUGAAAAAUGUGGGACCAAGCCUCUAAGACAAGCCAUCUGGAUCCAACCUACUCGUUUCGACACCUCAAGAAAAAUCAUAUUAUCAUUUCUUCAAAACUAUUUAUUGCCUCUAUUUGGGUUUUAUUUUCAUUUGUAACUAAAAAGUUACUUUUAAAGGAUCCACGGUAUUAUACACAUAUCGACCACUCAUUUCUCGAAAAAUGAAAGAAACCCGAACAUAAGCAUAUUAAAAUUUUGUGCUUUUCUAAAUAAAUUUUAAUCUGAUCACAUGUACUUCAUAUUUACAGGUUGGAAAAUGUUAACUUAAAACAGAUACACAGUCUAGCAAAGGUCAUUGGAACCGGAAUAACACUCUUAGGUGCAAUGCUCACGACAUUCUACAAAGGCCCUGUAGUUGAUAUUCUUCCCCACUCACUCGGCAGAAGCCACCAUGAAACUGCUAGCACCGUUGGCUCAGCCGAUCAACACUGGAUCACUGGCACAAUUAUGUUGCUUUCUUGUAUUGUGUGUUGGUCCGGUUUCUUUAUAGUUCAAGUAAGUUCUAUGUCCAUCCAGAUAGGAUUAGACAAGAUCAUUACGAAAUUAUAUCAAGUCCUAUCUAAUCGAGCUUAUCAAAUAUGUCGUUUACGUACACUCGAAUUUAUUGAAAUUUUUUCUUUUAGAUUUAAUUAAAGUUAAAUAUUGAUAUGGUUUGGACAGAAUAAGACACUGAAGGAAUAUCCCGCAGAGCUCUCUCUUACAUCAUUAGUUUGUUUCAUGGGAAUGGUGGAAGGUGGAGUUGUGGCUAUAAUAAUGGAACACCAUACCAAUGCCUGGGCAAUUGGCUUCGACUCAAGACUUUUGGCUGUUGUAUAUUCUGUGAGUAAAUUUCAAUAAUUAGGAUGAAAAGUAAUUUAUAUAUUCUCUUAAUGACAUGUUUGAUAUAGGGUUAUAUAUGAUAACACUGGACAAUACACUAUUUUGGCUUUAUUCCCUUUUGCAUAGUGUUGAUCAAUUGUUGUGAGUUCGACCAUUCCUACCCUAUCGGGAUGAAAAGAAUCAAACUCUACUCUUCCCAACUGGUGAAUUCGUGGGUGUGUAUUAUACAUAGUCUCAAAUCAAAGCGAACAUAAAUCUUGUGUGAUCUCGUGUGCAUUUUUUUCCAUGAAUUUUUGUUCUUGGUGGCAGAAUUAGAGUUUUUAAUUCUCAACAAGCAUUCAACUUUAUCAAACACACGACAUGCGUGUUGAGAAUAAAACUUUGUAACGCAUUGAGAGAAUAGAGCUAGACUAGGUGAAAAAAACCCUAAAACGGUCACGAAGUACGUACGGGAGCAUUCCCUAACAAAGCAUUAUAUAUUUUCAAGGAAUGCGAACAUUGAAACACUUUGUCUAAUUAAGUCAUAGUUUCAUGUCAAGAAUCAUAUCAUAAUAUGUGACAAAAUUUUAUGUUGACUAUCAACCUAUCGUAAUUAGUAAGUCUACUUCUUUAUAAGAUAUUGUAUCUAAAUAAAUGUACUUCAUUGCAGGGGAUUGUUUGCUCAGGAAUUGCAUAUUAUCUGCAAAGUGUUGUCAACAAGGCACGAGGUCCAGUGUUUGUGACUGCAUUCAGUCCUCUAAGCAUGAUAAUCACAGCUAUUUUGGGAGCCAUGGUUUUGGCUGAGCAAAUUCACCUUGGAAGGUAACUUUCGUGCUUGUAAUUUUGUUGAACAAGCCAAUUACUUUUAUUAUAUGAAGUUUCUUCGACAGGUAAAAUCUGUUUCAAAAACUUUAUACAGCGGCUAACAGCCGUUCACUGCCCUCGCUGUGUCCCUUGUUGCCCAACCCCAUAAGGGUUGGGAUUCCCCAAUUAAUCGGUGUUCGGGUUGAGUACGGGAAAAAUAGUCCCGUCUCGAAUCUUAUUAUUUAUUUCAUUAUAUACAAUAUAUUUAUGUUUUCAAAUUAAAAUCUUUAAGUUUAAAAAAAAAUUAGUUAGCAAAAAAUAUGAAUAUUUUAAUCUUGAUCAUGCCUCCUACCAAAUGCAAAGGAGAUGGCGACAAGGAGGGCUUCCUUGUCCCUGCCAUUGCCCAUCUCUUUUGCAAUCCCCACUCGUGGAAACACACACCAAACAAGUUGUACCUAACGCACACAUCAUCUGCAUACAUCGCACUCGUUAAUUUAGCGUGAGAAUUUUUAUCAAUUAUGAUCGUCACUUAUAUUUCUUGAUACAUAAUUGUUCGAUAAUUAGUAGUUAAAAAUGUGUGUAUAUUUGUACUUGCAGCUUAAUAGGAGCAAUUAUCAUUGUAUUUGGACUCUACUCAGUUGUAUGGGGUAAGAGCAAAGAGAAUUCAAACUCGGAUGAGUUAGUGUACAAGGAAAACAAAUCCCAUGAUGAAUUGCCAGUGGUGUACAAGAAAACAUCAAAUAUUCUUGACAAUGUCACAACUGAUACCAAUGUAAAACCAGAUGUACGUGAGAAUAAUUCCUUAAAUCAAGAGCCAUGAAAUAGCAACAUCGUCCCGUCCCAUCCCGUCCCAGCCUAGCCUAGCCCAGCCCAGCUCGUGUUGUUUUUACAUUUUUAGCCCAUGUUGUAUUUAUACCCAUAAAGGCAGAGUAAUUAUGUCAUAUAUUACUGACAUUUUAGCAUUGUAAAUUGGAAAUCAAAUGGGUUUUGGGGAUUAAAGAUCUUGGAGAAGUCAUAUAUCAAGUAUCGAUAUUAAUGAAGCAAGUGAAAUUUGACAGAUAAAUGUUACAAAUCCACUGCGCAAACUACAUACCGAAACUUGUGUUGUAUCCUUGUGUGACCUUGGAUAUACAUGUCUUUAUACAUUUUACUUUAAUUGAAAGCGGUGUCUUGCAAUUUGAUUUGAAACUUGUAUUCGUGAAGAUUGUGUCGCGGUUUGACGAAGAUUUGGAAGUUUCUGCCAUUGUAGAUUAUAACUAUAAUGAACAAUUUAGCUCCUAUUUGUUUUGGAUAAAAAUUAAAAUUUUCGUAUAUUGUGAUAAAAUUUGAUGAAAUAUUUAGUUAAAUGUUGAUAAGGUAUUGGAUCUCAUAAAAAUAUGUGAUUGAAAAUGAGUUUUAAAAAAUAAUAAUGAUGAUUGAACAGGGCUAAAAACACGAAAAGUGUGGACAGAGUGAGUUGACAGCAUUUGGUUGGAUUUAAUUUUAGAAAAUUUUCAAACCAUCCAUUCAUGCUUCUCUUUAAGGAUUAGGGGUCAAACAUGGUCUUAACUCUUGAGGGUUUAGGAAUGUCAAAGAUGAAAAAUAUUUUCGAUUAAUUUCAAUUGUCAAACAUUUUUGUCUUUAAAAUGAGUAUAUAUGGGAUCAUAUUCAAUCCAUGUUAUAUGAAAAAAUUCGAAAUUACUAAUUUAUCAGUAAAAUAGUUAAAUGGACCAAAAUGUCCAUAAUUGAAGAUAACAAAUCACGUGAUUUAUAAUACAUUUUGUAACACUUGUCAAUUUUUUUUUUAGCUUUUUUAUUCUCCUAAAGUUCAAUUAUUAUUUCAUUUUCAUCUAAUUAACAUUUUUUUAAAAUCUUUUUCAUUCACAUGUCCUACGUAAAUUAACGUGCAAUCUAGCAUUUUAAAUAAUUUUCUUCCAUUUGCAUUAUUUACUUUAAAAUUUGUUAGGAAUGCAUGUCUAAUUUUAUUAGUUUGAUGAUUAUGCACUUGUUUGAUAAAGAUUUUUAGAGAAGUAAUUAUUUGAAAAUAUCUUCUCUAUGAAUGUGUGAUUAAAAAUUAGAAAAGUUAUGAGGAAAUGAGAAAAAUAAUAUUUUGGGAGAUUGUAUGAUUGAAAACAAGUACGGAAGAAAAAUUAUUCUCAAAAAAUAAAAAUCGAACUAAGGCCCCUUUUGUGAGAAAGCUUCGUAGAAGAGAAUAAUGUAUAUAUACAUAUAAUGAAUGAGUAUUUCCUAUAUUUCACAAUAUUUUACUAACUUAGUAAAAUUAUUUUUAGCGAUUUGAUGUUAGAGCUGAAGAAAGGAAAAUAAUAAAUUUUAUUGUUCUCUCUCUCACACUCUCUCUCUCUCACACACACACACACAAAUCAUCCAAAAAAACAUUGAAAAAUCAAUACUCGGAAAGUGGUAUGCAAAACAUUAAAUUGAUGCUGGUGUAAAUCUUGACAUUUCUCGUAAUGCUUUAUAAGUAUGAAAGUAGUUUGUUGGAAGAUUUCGGCAAUUAAAAAUUGAAGUCUUCGAUGAAAGGGACCUAGGAAGAGUCACAUGUCGAGUAUCAAUAAUAUUGAAGCAAGUGAAAAUUUACACGUGUUACAAAAAUGUGGAAGUGUGUACAAAAGAUGGUACUAUAAAAAUGGAAAAUUUGCAGUAUUAAUAAUGUUGUUUAAACUUUAAAUAACAAGUUUUGAAAACUAAAAAAAUAAAAAUAAAAAUUGGGUAUCAACAUUAUAUUAUAAUUGCAAAACUAAUCAGUCAUAAAUUAGGAAACUUAUAAAUUUUUAUUAACUCUUUUGUGACCUCAAAUAUUCAUGAAGCUAAAUUUUACUUCUCUUAUUAUAUUGGUGCCUAAAAAUUUAAUUUUUGAUGUUUCUUUCACUCUCUUUUUCACGAAUGCCGAUCAUUGUGCUCAUGUGCAUGUUGAUUCUCCAAUCUUGCCCAACUCUCAAUUGGAUUUUCGGACAAAGGGUCAUAUCUAACUCUCAAUAUCAAUUUGAUCAAGAUCAACUGCUUUUCGAGUCGAAUUAAUUGAUAUUUGUGUAGUUUUGGGGUUUUUUUCAUUUAAAUCAAAUAAAUUGGGAGUAAAAAAUAGUAAUAUUAAUAACAGAGUUUGUAAUGGUUUUUAAUUGUUAAAAAAAAAAACGGUUAUAUUAAUAAAUUUAAGUGAUUUAGAGAAGAGAGGGUGGGGGCGGAGGAGAAGCAAUGUAAAUAUAAAAAGUAAUAGUCAUCUGGAAUAAAAUAAAAUUUUGAAAAAAUAAUUUAUUAUUGUAAAAUAAUGAGGUAAUUAUUGAUGAUUAUUUGAUAUUAUCAUGAUAUAUAAAUAACUCUUAUUUAGUUUAAAAUAUCUAUUUUAUUCAAAUUGUAACUCUUAUUUUAGACCCUAUAAAUAUAUGAUAUUAGUUCUUAAUAAUACACAUUUGAAUUUGACUCUUAUAUUCUCUUAUUCUCUCUUUUCAUAGUACUUAUCUAUUUUUAAUAACUUAAAUAAAAGAUAUCAAUGAAAUAUUUUUUUCAUAUGUAAAUUUUAUUUUAUUAUUAUUUUUUGACAGGUGAUAUCAAUUAAAUAUUUCAUUAACUUAACUAAAAAGUGAAAAACAAACGAAAGGACAAUCUUUCAUCGUGACGCCAAAAUUUAUUCGUCGACGAUGGCAAUUGAUGCUUUGUCGAUAAUCGUUGACAUUGUCUUACGUAUUUGCAUUCAAAUAAAAAUAAAUAAACAAAAGAAUAAAUUUACAUUGAUAACACUAGAGUUUCUUCAUUAGCGAUGGUGAUCGCUGCACUAUCUAUAGUUGUCGAUAAUGUAUGAUGGAGGUGCAUUCAUAAUAAUCAAGAUUAGUGAUUUUUAUUAGAACUAUCAACAAUAACCAUCUAAUGUCACCAAUAAAAAAUCUAUCCAUGAUCAUUUACUAUAUUUUUUUUUGUAGUUAGUAAACUUGUUAAGCUUUGCCAAACACUACAAGGUUAUUUCUUUCCUUUUUUUUCCCCCUUCCUCUUCUAAUCGAAAGUUACGCGUAAUUUUUUUUUCUAGUGAAAUAGAAUAGAAAUUAAAAAAAAAGUAAAUUAUUCUAGGGAAAUUAUAAAAAAUGUCACUUUUUUUACAAUGCAUAAAAAAUUUGCAUGUGCACCUAAUUUCAGAAAAAAUGUCACUUUUUUUUGUGAGAAAUAUCCAACUUAUUCUUCAUGUCCCCUUUUUUAGGAGCAUUUAAUGUUAGCUUUCCAAUCCAAUUAAUGUCAUGAUUUGAUUAGUUAAAUUUAUAUACUAUAAUCAUUGGAUAUAUUAAAAUUAUUAAAUUUAUAUAUUAUAAUCAUUAGAUAUAUGUAUAUUCUCCAUUUUUCAUGUUUCUAGCAAUUGAAGUUAUUUGAUUUUAAAUUUUAAAAAUCUGAUUUUGAAAAGAAUAUAAAUUUCGGAUCAAAAUAAAAAAAAAAAAAAGAAAAAAGUUAAAGGCGGUUAGCGGCUUUCAUGUUCACAGCUGCUGAAUUGCAACAGCAAAUACAGUCUCUGCCACAAUGUCGGUGCUGUAAACGAAAAAUAAAUAAAUUUGUUGUCCAAAUUUUCAUCAGAUUUGGGUGAUUGGAGAUGGAGGCCUGUUGUGCAAAUGAUUCAGAGGGUUAAAAUGUCCUAAAUUGAUAAUUUGCAAGCCUCUGCUUGAAAAUUAAUAUAUAAAGUAUUCAAAUGAUUCAGAGGGUUAAAAUGUCCUAAAUUGGCAUUUUUGAUAGAAAUUUUAAAAUGUGACAUUUUUGAUAUUGCACAGUCAAAUUUUGACACCCAAUGAAAUUUCCUCAUUAUUCUAUUUGGAGAUACAGGUUACUUAAAGUUAGUAUAUUUAGCCCUUGUUUGAGCAACAUUAUUUCCUUAAGAAUACAUUUUUAAAUAGUGUAUUAAUAGGAAAUGUGUGAUUAAAAAUAAGAAAAAGUUUUGGAUUUGUGUGUAAUAUUAUUUUAUUGACUAACGUGUGAUUAAAAUAAUGUUAAAUCACUAUUUAAGAAUGUAUUUUUUAAAAAAUGUGGGGCAAAUUAUUUUCAAGCUUAGACCAUUUUCAGCGCUGCACCAAAUUUUGCACCAAAUCUUUCAGCAAAUUAAAAUUCAUCUCCAACCAUUACACCAAAAGUUAUACUAAAUGAAUAGUGUUUAACUAUUUUUUUCCCUUUUUUGUUCUUUAUAAUAUAUUUAUUUGAAAUAUUAUUUAUUUAAUUAUUUUAUAAAUACAUAGUUACUAAAUAAAUUAUUAUGUUAAAUUAUGAAAAAGAUUAAAUUCAUUAAUAAAUCGUGUUUGUUAUAUUUUAAAAUUUUUUCUUCUUUUAAUUAAUUAAUUAAUUAUUAUUUCUUGCAUUUAAAAUAAAUUUUAAAUGCAAGUAAUAAUAAAAAUAAUAAUAAUUUAUUGUAUUUAAAAAUAGAUAGCACAAAGAUACAAAUACCCUUAAGCAAUUUAUUUGAAAAAGGAAAAUGAAAGGUAAAAAUGACUUUAGAUACCAAAAUGGUGCAAAACAAAAUUUGAUGUUAGAGGUGUUUUACACCAUUUUUUUGGGUGCAUUUUUGUGUUUUGGGGGUAAGCAUUGGAACUGCCCAGCAAAACAUGCCGUCUGAUAUGGCACUUGAUGAUUGGGGAAAGCUACAAAACUGGGGAAAUAUUGUACCAGCUUAACCCAAAAUGUUCCUCACGUCCUCUGGCUCAUUCUCUUUCGACUACUCAUUUCCACACCCCUUCAUCUCACCUGGGCCAAUGAUUUUGGCUGCCAACUGACGUCAGAGUGAGAUAUUUUAUCUGUAAGUAAUAAAUAAAGAAAAUGGCGAUGUGGGUUUUCGGAUACGGAUCUCUGAUCUGGAAAGCCGGCUUCCAUUUUGAUGAUCGCCUUGUCGGUUUCAUCAAAGACUACCGCCGUGUUUUCUAUCAAGGUUAGAAGAUAAUCCCCUCCUCGAGUAAAUUUUUUUGUAAAAUAGAGUAUUGGGUUCAAUUUAUCGAGUUAGGAGUAGUCCAAGUCAUCAAACAGAUGGAAUUGCUCUUUAUAGCUUUUUUGACUCUGAUACUCUGCGUUGAUUCUUGGGCUCUAUCUUUAAAAGGCUAAUCUUGUUAAGAGGUCUUGUAGAUUUAAGCAUAAAUCAUAUAUUCAAUGGGCUGGAGUGGAUUUCUCUUGAUGCUGACAGUGUGAUUCCAUUAACGUUGUGUGUGCCUGCGGGGAUCGAGAUGAUUAAACUUUUUGUUGGGUUUGAGUUUAGGGAGCACUGAUCACAGAGGGACUCCAGAGUACCCGGGAAGAACAGUCACAUUGGAGCCUGCUGAGGGGGAGGUUUGCGUGAGUUCUUUUUGACCUAUCUCUCUUCUUUUCUUGUGUUACUGUAACGGCUUUUGCAUUUUAAAUUAAUGGUACAAUAAGAAGAAAUUUAUCAAUUUGGCCGUUCUUGGAUAUAUAAUGGAAUUGUAUGUAUAAUGAAACAGCUAAUCUGAAAUUUUUAAUUGGUAUUAGCAUACUCUGUUGUUUAACUGGUACUCAAAUGGUAGUAAAGGACAUUCGGACAACUAACAAGAACACCAGAUGAUGCAGAUUACUGAACAACCAAGUUGAAGUAGCACAUAAGAGUUGAACUCUCGCCUUGGAUCAGAAGGAGGGGGUUCGAUUUCUGAGAAGUAUGUUCAUGGAGUAUUUUGAAUUUAGAAACAUCGAGCACUUUUGAGAUUUUAUGUGCGUGGGACUGGAUUUUGAGUUGUGAUUAGCUAAUAGCUAUUGCGAGCUUGUGAUCAAUGAGAAUUGAAGUCAUGGGUUAGAAAAUUCCUAUGAUGAUUGUUGGAGUUCGAAUUUGAAGUUAAGAUUGUUAAUCAUAACAAUUUUAAUCAACAGUGAUUUUUAAUUUCUGGACAUAUUUUAUGCAUGUGUGAUGUGUAUGUAUAUGUAAGUUGAGGUAGAAUGUCAUUUACAUAAAAUGUACUUAUGAGGGGGUCUCAUGGUCAUUUUUAGUAGCACUAUUAACUUGUGUUGGACCAUGUGUCUCUGUCCUAGUAAUAUGUAACACGCACAUGUUGAUCCUUGAUAAGAAGUCAAAGCACAAGAAAUUUUACUUAGAUUGGAGUUAACUUUAGAUGAUAACAGUUGUAUCAUUGCUGGUUUUACAAACAAGGAUCAGUGAUGGAUAUUUGAAUUGGAAAACAUUCAUUAUCUUAAGCAGUGUAUAUUGUUGAACAUAGACUGAAUCUCUAUGGAUAAUGUCAUAAUACAGACUUUCACAAUUUUCUAAAAUAUGGUUCUGGUAAGUCCCUGAAUCAUGAGACAGGGUCAUUAAAUCAUUCUUGUUGAACCUGUGUACCAUUUUCUUUGCGUGCUUGGUCUCUCUCGUCAUUAAUGAUUUGUUAUUUAAUUCUUUUCUAUGUUGUUUUGUGCAUGUAAAUUCUACCAAGUAUGAAUUUAGUAUUUAAAAUCCUUAUAAAAUGUAUGAACUUGACAAAUAUUUGAUAUGGAAGAUCAGUGGGGUGUUGCCUACAAGAUUAUCCGGAAGGAAGACCAGGAGGCUGCAUUGGAGGUAGGUUUUAACUUUUAGAAAAUAUAUAAAAUGUUGGAUUCUGUCUCUUUUAUGUAACAGUUAUUAAAAUUAUUUCUUUUUGGUGGUAAAUGAAUUCCUUCCAGUUGAUCUCGAUGAUAAAUUUCAAGAUAUGUCUUCACCUGUGCUUUUGAUUUUACUGGCUACUGUGACAGUAGAAGUUUUCAAAUAUUGGAUUGCUUCAAAGGAAAACCUCAGCAAAUCUAAGCACAAAGAAAACCUUCAAAAGAGGGCCUAGAAGUCAUAUAUGCUAUUUUAAUUUAAGAUAAUAGUCAAGCAAACAAAGAAUAAGACAUAAUAUUCUGAUGUUUCAGUUAUAGAUUGUUCCUUAUACCCGAGAGUUUGUAAUUUUCUUAAAAAAAUUACACUUUCAUGUCCAUUGUAUCAUUAAUAUUCCUAAUUCAUAUCUUUGUUUGGAUUAACUCUUCCCGUCUUAGAAGGGUGAUAUUAAAUGGAAAGAAAUCAUAAAACAAGCAAAGAAUGGACACUAGUGGUUCCCCCUCAAUGUGAGAUAUAUGUUUGCUGGUUUUCACUAUAAUGGAGAGCAAGAGUCCUAGGUUUCGUCACGCCUCUCCCACACCUGAAAGCUGCCUCCUAAAAUUCUUUGUGUAUGUAGGAAUCUCAUGGCGACCUAAUACAUGUAUGGAAUACAGGCCGGAUUGUAGUCGAGUGGAUAAGUGGAGAGUAUGAUUAGGCUCCCAUAGUCCAAAAUAUCGGACACUGAGAGAGAUUUGUUUACACUUCUAUUGCAUGUAUCAGUCUUUUCUUGUUCAUUAAGUACCUGUUUUCGGCUUAGUCCUUGUUUUCUCCCUUUCUCAAAAUGAAAUGCCUCUCUGCUACAUUGAAUAGCAUCUAGAAGUAAGGGAAAAGCAGUACGACAUGAAGGCUUAUCUUGACUUCUUCACUGUAAGUCUAAAGUUCAUCCAAUAAUUAUGUUGAUGUCUUCAUUUGAUAUUAUCUAAAACAUCAAAUUGUUGGAGCAAAUUCUGAUUGUGCCUGUACAUGUUAAAUUUUAUUUCAGAAGCCCACUGCUACAACGCCUGCAGUUUCCAAUGUAUUGGUGUAAGUUGCCCAAACCGCCACUUACUAUUGCGUAAAUCCUCUAGAGCAUUUUCGGUACACAAUAAUGCACCAUUUUAACUUUUCUUUAUUAGUACAACUUGAUACUCAGUAGCCCACCACAUAGAACAAGUCAAUAGAGAACUUGAUUGGAGGAUAAAAUACAUUAGAUAUUAACUUCUUUUCCAUUUUAAUAUUGACUAGUACAUUGCAGCCCCUUACCAAACAAUCUAUUAGAGCACAUUUGGAACAUUAGUAUUGGACAAAGCUACACACGACAACAAUCAAGAUUUUAAACUUCUCUUUCUAAUAUUUUCGAGUAUUGUGCAGUCUGUCUUACCAAACAAACCAUUUUAAUGUUAUAUUUGUGACAAUAGGCUAUUUCAGAACUUAAUAUUUUGAUUGUUUAGAUACAUAGCAUCUGCAGACAAGAAGCUCAACAAGAACUACUUGGGACCUGCUUCAUUUGAAGAAAUUGCAAAGUAUGUAUUUUAUUUCUCUGAGACUUAUUUUGCAUUUUGUACAAGAUGUUCUGUAAGCCUCUGUCAAAAGUAAUUUGGAUGUCAGCUCCAAUUAUCCUAGAAGAUGUUCUACUAAGCUUAAAAGAAAGUUAAACUAAAUUUCAAGCAAAUUUUCGUUACAAACUUGUUUAAUUACUUCACUUUUUCUUAAAAGUUGUAAAAGUUACUCUAUAAAGUAGGGGUUACUUUCAAAAUAAGUAAAUUAUUUCCAACUUCCACGACAGAAAAAUAAUAUAUUUUGAAAAUUGCUUAUUUGCAUAUAAGUCACUUAUAUGUAAUAUUUUUAAGCAUAGACAAACAUCCACUCAUUCACCUCUCUAAUUCUUAAGUCAUGGACAAAACGAACAUCAAAUAGUAAUAUUACAUUUUUCUCUAUAUAUUUUGAGAUAACAUUCUAUCUAUCAUUACAUUUUCAAAUAGGCAUUAUCGUGGUUGAAAAAAAUCUUAUUUUGAUUCAUAUUUUCGUAAAAUGAAUAUUAGUCAAGAUCAACAUUUAGGCACUAUAUCGAUCAUGAAAAAUCCAUGCAAACUCUGUAAAACGUAAUAUUCGGACAUUUUGUUGAUAUCUUACUAAUCUUGAUUUUUGUAGUCAGAUUGUUCACGCAGAAGGCCCCUCAGGACCAAACAGAGAUUAUCUUUUUAAACUUGAAACUGCACUUAUUCAAAUAGGUGAAGUCAUAUAAGUUCUUCUGAAUAUGACAAAACUUGUGCCAGCUACCUUCCCAUUUCCUUCUUUGUCUGUAUUUACAAGCAUGUUUGGUACAUUGGAUUAGAAUGUAUUAGAGACUACACUAAGUGAAUUGUCCCCAACCCUUUAUUUUCUUUUCUAGUCUAGGGAAGGGAGGGGAGAGGAUGAGGUUUGGGGUGGAGUGGGGUGGGGUCGGUCGAGUGGAACCUGUUGGGUGGUUGCAGGUUGGGCUAGGCAAGAAAUAUGACUGUUUUUUCUAUUUGUAUGUAUAUAUUUUUAAUCUAAGGGUAUAAUUGUCUUUUCGUGGCAACUUAACAAAUACUUGGACGAACCCAUUAGCAUCGACCACGAGACAAGUGCCUGGGAGUGGAAGGUUGGGGAAAUAUUAGAAAGACAAAAGUUGAAGACAAAAGUGCAAAACGGGUUUAAGGUUAAGAACAACGUUUGGAACACUUAAGUAUAAUUUAUCACCUAUCUCUGGUCUGUGAUCAUGUUGAGUCUUGUCCAAUCUAUCAAUGUACCCAUACGCCUGGCUCAUUUUACAAGGUAGAUUGUAUAGUAAGAGACUAAGCCCUUGUUUGAACCCCAUUUUUGUGAAGAAAAUGAAUUUUUGAAUAGUGUAUUGAUGGAAAAUGUGUGUUUAAAAAAUAAGGAAAAAAUUUUGAUUUGCGAAUAACAUUAUUUUAUUGAAGAGUGUGUUGUUGAAAUAAUGUCAAAUCACUGUUGAAUAAUGUAUUUUGGUUGAAAAAUGAGGCUCAAACAAGGGCUAAGUGUGUGUUUAAGUCACAUUAUUAUAAAAGAAUGCAUUUUAAAAAAGUAGGUUGAUAGAGAAUGUGUGGUUGAAAAAUAAGGAAAAAUUUUGGAUUUGCGUGUAAUAUUAUUUUAUUGAAGAAUAUGUAAUUGAAAUGAUAUCAAAUUACUAAUUAAAAAUAUAUUUUUUUGAAAAAAUGCGGCUCAAACAUGGCUUAAAUAUUGUGUCUCGUUCUAUCUGAUCUUAUAUGGUGCUAACUCCAAAACAUGACUUAUGUACUUUUGCUUAUCGUAUUUCAUUAUUUGCACUCUGCUCAAUCAAUGUUACUGUACAGGAUGUGAAGACGAACAUGUCAAUGAUCUUGCCGACGAAGUGAGGCGUAUAGUGUUAAAAAGAGGGACUGACCACUUGAUGAAGACUGGGGUUCAUUGAGCAUCGCAUGGACAUUGUUUUGGUAAUUCUUUAAAGCCACAAUGAAGCUUUAUUCGAAGCUCAGGCUAUUGAGAUAAUGAAAUAUAAAUUGACUUCUCUUUAUACUGUUUCUGCUUAUUUUCAUGCACGACUAAGUGUAAAUGUUAUGUACUAAUGAAGAAAAAGUGAAUGCAUGACUAAUAUGGUUCACGCUUUUAUUACUUCUUUUAUCGGAACUUGUAUGUCCUUUGCAUUAACGUUUGAUGUUAUUUUAAAUAUUAUUGUUUUCGUUUGAAUGUAUGGUUGAAAAUGAUCUUUAAAAAAAUCUUUUCCAAACAAACCCUCAAUAAUAUAAGUUAAUAAACUCGGCAAUUGAAGAACUCUAACCCAUGAUUAUUCAUUGUCAAAAUAAAUUUCUAUUUCCAAACUAUAAUUUCUUUAAUGUAUUGACUCAAUUUGCUGCUAAGCAAUUAUACUAUACCUUGAACACAUUUGUUACAUCAUAUUAAAUAGGAUUGCACGAAGAAUAAAUAAAUUGUUACCUUAUUGUUUAAUUAAUGGCGUUCAUUAGAGAUCAAUGAAAGUCAAUAUGUAAUCUCCAAAGGUCACCAUCGUUUUUAUUUAUUAAAAAUGUUUGUAGUCAACCCAUUUUUUGGGAUCCACAAGUAUAACACACUUAUCCACAACUUAUUCCUAUUUAUUUACAAUUUAUACAAUUUAUGAAUACUUGCCAAAAAUGCCACAUUCUAUAUGUCUUCUUGAACUAAAUAUGAUUAAGAAAUAUGAGUAAAUGAGAUGUUUGUUCAAUAAUUCUCUUUCAAUUAAAUUUAAAAAAAAAAAAAAGUUGAUCGUAAACAAAGAAAAGAAACAUGUGAGACACUUAUCCAUUUACCUUUGACAUGUAAACGGAACGUAUAUAAUUAUGAGAACGAGGUAACUGAGCUCUAUCAUACCCUAAUGUUCAAUUUAGCACCAUUUUGGCCCUCCAUUUUUUCAAAUUAAAAUGGGUGGAAUAAUAUUUUUUUUUUAAAAAUGAGUGGUUGAAAAAGAAAGAAAAGUUUUCGAUUUAAGUGUAAUAUUAUUUUAUGAAAAAUUAUGUGAUUGAAAAUAGGAUAGAGAAAAAUAAAAUUUAAUUUAAUGAGAGCUAAAUGGGGGCUUAAUGUGUGAGGACGACAUAUUUGAAUGAAAUUAAAUAUUAAAGACAAUAGAAAUGUUUAAUCAAUUAAUGUCCUAUCUAUCAUAUAAACACAAGCCAACAAAUUUCAACGCCAUUAAUGAAAAAAGUACAUGAAAUGUUUAGUCAUGCAUGCUUCUCCAAUCUUACAUGCAAUUUUUUUUUUCAUGCCUAUGAGAUAUUUUUGAUAAAGUAGGUUAAACAGUAAUGAGUGAUAUAAAAUUGACAUGUUAUCAAACCAUAAACUUCACAUCCAUGAAUCUUGUAGACUGGAGUGAUUAUGUUGAUUAUGGGAUAAGAAUCAGAGUAUCAUCAUACACUAUAAAACAAUUAUAAUUCCUGAAAAUCUUAGUUAUUGUCAAUACUUGUACCCUACAAUAUGUGUUGCUCUGAUUGCCUCUACGGUGACUUUUCUAGCUCUAAUGCCCUUUCUGACGAAAUUAUGGCUAAGCAAUUAUAAUGCCCUUUCGACAUUUUUUUUUGAAUUGUAUGGGGCAUUUUCUUAAGUGAAACUUGAAGAAUAUAGAAUAAUAUAGUUUGUACGAAGUGGGGAUCAUCUACAUCAAUAUUAUUUGAGUAUUUGAAAUUUUGUAUAUUCAAAAUACGAAAUUAUCAAUAAAGUCCUUUUCAAAGAUUCCUUUACGAAUAAUUGCAGCAGAAGCUCCAAAUCUUUGAAAUAAUAGUAGACUUCCCAAAACCUUUGUUUAUUGCAGUCGUCAACCUCAAUAUUUUCAAAUGCUGCAUGGGAAGCCCUUUUGAACGAUUUUCAUCAAUUGAUUAAAAAAAUGAUUUUGACCACAUUUUAACAAUUUUUAAAGGGACGGAAUGGUAACUUUACAUUAAAAAAAAUUAAAAUAUAAAAUUGGUUUUCUUUUUCCCUAACCCACCCCAAAUCCGCCCCCACCCCACAGUCGGAUUUGGAAAAUUGAAGCACUAAAACCAAACCACAAAUGUAGCCCUCCUUUCAGAGUUGAUCCCUUGGAAUUUUCAGAUAAUAGUGGGGUAGGGGAUGGGUUAGGAAAGAAGAAGAUCAAUUUUAUUUCUUGAUUUUUGAUUUUAAUGUAAAGUUACCAUUCUCCCUCUUUAAAAUUGUUAACAUGUGGUCAAAAUCAUUUUUUUGGUCAAUUGACGAAAUUUUGAAUGAAAACCGUCCAAAAGGGUCUACCAUACAACGUUUGAAAGGUUAGGGUGACAGUAAUGACAAAUCAAAGGUUUAGAGAAAGUUUGCUAGUGUUUCAAAACUUUGAAACUUUUACUACAAUUAUCCCAUUUCUUUAUGCAAGGGCUUUAAAGUGUGGCUAAGAAUUCCCUGUACAUGUAACAAAAACUUUAUCAAAAAUAAAAACUCAAUGAAAAAGAAAAGAAAACGAAGACACAUCCCUCGAAUUAUUAGUUGAGAAUUCUAUAUCGUCAAGGACCACUUUAUUAAAAUCUUUUCCUUUAGAGAAAAUGAUAUCAAAGUGAGUGGAGAAAGAUGGAAAAACUCGUUAUAAAUUUGUACAAAUAUAUUAAUUCCCACAAAAAAAAAAAAAAAAAUAGUGCUAGCGAUGAGGGAAAUGAUCAAUUGGUACGCCGUAAUUAAAAACUCAAUAGUGUUUGUAAUGUAAUUAUUGACCUCGUUAUUAUGUAAUAUUAAACUUCUAUUGAAUGCAAAUAAUUUAUGUAUACUUUGGAUUUAUGUGUAAGGACAAGAUAACUAUUGGACUUUGCUACUACGAUUUGAUUUAUUUAUUAAAAAUAAAAAUAAAAAUCCAAUCAAAAAAAUUAGUCAUGUACCUAAUAAACUAGAUAAAUAUGCAUGGCAUUUUCAAGAAGAGUGUCCACUCAUCAUCCCACAAUCCUACAUGUAUCACAUAGCACUAAACCCUAAUAAACAUUUGGUGUUCAUUUUGCAAAAUAUAAUAAAAAUAAUUUAAUAUGAAUGGUUCAACAUAGUAUAAAAGCAAUAAAAAAUUUGAACUCAAGUCGCAUGGGCUAUAUAGGAAAAUUGUGCACAUAUAUAUUCAAUAAAAAAAGGGAAAAAUUCAUAACUUAGGUGUAUUGUUUACACCAAUUCAAUUUUCAAAUCCUAAGUUUAAAAGUGCAAAAAUCAGGUAUUUAUUUAUUAAUUAAAAAUAUUUUAUUAAUUAAAUGUAAUAAGGUCAAUGAUACAAAAUUUUAUAUCACAAUUUAUUUACUAGUCACAUAUCAUUAAAUUAAUUAGUCACAGGUUAUUUCGAGGUCAUAAAUAAAUUUUUUUAUAGAUCAUCUAAAAAUUUAUAGGUCACAAUUUAUUGUGGUAGUCACAAAUCUAAAAAUUUAUAGGUCACAUAUUUUCAAAUUUGUUGAUGACAGUUAAAUAUUUGGUCACAUAAGUCGAAUAGUGGUCACAGACCAUCGCGAUUAACACUAUCACAUCGCUACUGCCAUCACGACCACUUGUGACCACCCUCACCCCGUUACCGUCGCCAAGGUCACAUGAUCACAGAUAACUAAAUAGUUGGUCACACUUCUCAAAUAAUGGUCACAAACCACUACCACCACCACCACCACCACCACUAUCGCAUCGUCAAUGACGUCACGGGCACUUGCAACCAUCCUCAGCUCGUUAUCGAUGCCAACACCAACACCAACAAAAACAAAAAUCAAGGCAACUACAACCAAUAAUCACCACCUUCGUCACUAGAAACCACCACAAGUGCCACCACCAAAAACCACAAUAAUACAUAACCAACGUCUCAACCACCAACAAGACCACCGCCGUAAACCACACAAUAUCACUGCACCACCAUCCAAACACUAUCACCGCCAUCACCAUUCAGAUCUGAACACACCACGUCACACCACUACAACCACCACCAAAAGAUUAAUAUUCACACCAUUUAGACACCGACAUAUCAAUAUUCACACGGCAUCACCACCACAUCCACUACCACUCCAAAAAUCAACAAACACCUAACACCGCACCAAUAAACUUCCACACACUGAACCAUCUUGUGUGUCGCCGCAUAGCAAAGCCACGACAACGCCGCGACUUUGACGCUCAUAUUGACUCGCAACGGCACUCAGAUUGACGCUCAACAGCCAUGUCAUCAACGCUUGUCACGGCACCGACACUCGUUGUGACAACAGCAUUCAUCGCGACGAGUUAAGUGGCAAUCAGAUUUAGCAGCGGCCAAAGUUGGUAGAGAGAAUGGAGAGAAGAAAGGGGAGAAGUGAAUUAGGGUUUGGAAUUGAAUUAAUAAAUUAAUACCUGAUUUUUGAUUUAAAAACAUUUGCACUCACAUCUUUAGAUACCAGGAAUCUUGUAAUUUCCUCAUAAAAAAAAAAAGAGCAUGACCACGCGUAUGUACUGUUCUAAAAGUCAUGUAUUAGUGGCACCUAAGUGUCACCAAUGCGCGAUGCGUAGUGGAAAUGCCAAGCCAAGUGGCUUGGCACCUUAUUUAGCGGUCAACGAGAGCGGUCAACAACAAUCGUUGCCGCUAAUGCACGCCUAGGUGUGGUUAACCAAGCCUAGACAAGCAUAAUUAUCUUUUAAUUUUAUUUUUUUAUUUUACAAUUCUUUUAAAUUAAAACUUAAAAGUUGAUUCCUUCAAUUCGUCGAUUCUAAAUUCAAAAUAGUCACUUGAAGUCUAAAACAAAGGAAAUCUCCCAAAAACUCUUAUUUAUUUACUAUUUAAUAUUUACAUUUGGAAAUUAUCUUUUUAUUGAAAACUUUGGAAAAAUGAAUAAAUUUCCUAUAAAUUUGUUUUAGAUGUUUGGUACGUAUUAUUUUUAAUUAUUAAACGAUUUUUCAAUUGAUUAAAAAUUAAAAUAAUUUUAAAAUAUGAAAACAUCUUUUUAUGUUUUUUUACGUCUAUGCCUCGUCUAAGCUCCCCUAACCCAUAGCUUGGCUUCUACGUAUUGCUACGCAUUACGUUUUUUAAAACACUAUGCGUACGUUAAAGGACACGUUUAGAAUUAAUUUCAAAAUAAAUAAUUGUACUGCAUUUAAUAGUUUAAUUUUUUAGAUGAAAUAGUUAACUAAUAACAAAUUAAACUUAGAAAAAUAUUUAACAUGUGGUGGAGAUUCAUGUUAAACUAUUAAUCUUUCUUUUAGGAUUAUUUUAAUUAGUGGAAAGAUUCUAGUUUCUUGAAUUUGAUUCCUAAAGGGGAAUAGAGUUACUGCGCCAAUGCACAAGAAUUAUUCAAUCUCUUUUGCUUUUAUUUUGUGUAUAAAAGCCCAAAACUUCUCAUUUUUGUAUGGUCCAGGCAUUUACAAUUGUGUAUAGAAAAAUUAGAGAAUAGGAAUGGGAGAGCAAUCCGCAUGGGGGAUUACAAGUAUGGCAUUCAAUAAGAUGAAGCCCUAGUUGGCCAUGGUGUCUCUACAAUUUGGCUAUGCCUGAAUGUACAUUAUCACCAUGCUUUCCUUCAAGUUCGGGUUCAACCACUGGAUUCUAAUCGUGGACCAAUACAGUUGCCACGAUGGCUUUUGCGCCUUUCGCAUUUUUCCUCAAAAGGUCAAUACAUCGUCCAUAUAUAUGUGCAUAAGUGUAUGUAAGCCACGCAUGUUAGUUUUAUUUCUCCUUAUAAUAUAAAUUCAUUUCUUCUCUCUGUGUGUGUAACAAUACAACUUGCAUGUCAUUUUGCAAGAAAAUAAGGCCUAAGAUGACACUAUCAGUCAUUCUGAAGAUAAUACUACUUGCUUUUUUGGAGUAUUCCUCUUGAUCACUUCACUUAUUUACUACAAUAUAUCGCUCUUUUGCACCAUCUUACAAGAUUUUCAUCUAAUAGUAUAGUUCAGUCGACCUUAUCUGCAUUAAAUAAACACGAUUAGGCAGUAUAUGUCCAAAAUUUGAGCUUAUUUGUCAAUUUUGUAAUAUUAUCAAGCCCGUGCUUGAUCAAAACUUAAUUCUUGUACUUUUUAGUUAGGAAUGUUAAAAGAAUUAGAUCGAAACAUGUUUGAUUGAAAAUUUUGAUAGAAGUUCCAAAAUGUAAAUUGGUUACAAGUAGGAAAAUUGAAAAUAUAGAAACCAUUAAAAUAAAUUUUUACUUGGUUGCUCUAUAAGAUUGCCAUUUGUUACAUGUGCGCGCUUAUAUUGAGCUUGUCGACCACGUAAAAGUCGAUCAAUGCUUGACGUCAAAUACUUUUGUACAGUGCCAUGUGAUUAAGUAAAUUACAAUGUAUUUAUUAUUUUAUUUAUUUUCUCGUGAUUAAACAAUGGAAAUAACAGAUUAAUUUUUUUAAAGAAUAAAAAAAUAAAGGGUGAAUUUAUUUAUGGAACCACAUUGAUUUCUUCUCCAAUAUCAAAUUUAUCAAUAUGAUGUGAGAGAAUAAAAAUAAAACCCUACUAUAAUUUUCUAACAAACGUGGUGCCGGCAAGGAAAUAACAAAUUUGCCGAAUCAAGAUCGGACGACCGGGUCAACCCGUCAAUACCGGGAAAUCCCAAUCCAACGGCUCAUAUACGUUACGAUAUCCACCGUUGGAUCAUCAACUGACGGCCCAUAUCAAACCAUUGUGGGCUCCAUCAAACCUUUUCCCUAGACAUAUAAAUAACAAUUAUGUAAAACCAUGUCCACUCUGAAGAAUUCUUGAACAAAAUUCUCUCUCACACAGUGGUUUUGUGUGUGGGUUCUGUUGGAAAAAAAUGGUUCAAUGGGUCAACUUUGAGUCCAAAUUUCAGUAGGACCCACCUUUUAAAUAAUACGGGACCUAGUAUAUUCACGUUCUACUCCGCGAGAUGAUUAACGUGAUAUAUUUAUUUAUCGAAAACCAUUUAAAAUUGAAUGAAAUAUUAAGUGUUAAAGUAACCCACAUGAACUAAAGAUUAUGGAAGAAUUUGAUUUGCCAAACACUUAUCCCACAUAGGAAAGUUAGGAAACUUUGGUGUGUUUUAUAAGGUGGAAGUUUGGAAUUAGGUUUGGGCCCCAAGGGGUACCAAUAGUCUUUGGAAGGGGGAAGACCUAUAUCCUAUUGGGUUCGGUCAUAAACCCACACGCGCGCGCCGCUGUCCGACCGGCCGGCUCGGCAUGGCAUGGCACGAGUCCGGUUCGGUGGGGGUCCGGGUCGACCUUUACACUAUAUUAACUUUUUAGACAAAAUUUAUUUAAAAUUUUGGGCCAAAUUGUAAAUAAUCAAAUUCUUGGGUACAAAAUGAAAUUUAAAUUUUGGCUUAUUCCGGGUGUUUUAUUUUCUUUUAACAGUCGACUGUUUCGACUGUUUAUCGACCAUUAACCGACUUAACAGACACGACUUUUAAGAACAGUAUGUCUGUUCGAAUUUUUGAGGUUUGUCUGAAAGGUGAUGACUGUUCGAAUGGCCACGAACAAGUCUAUAAAUAGCCAGCCUUUCUAUCAGAAAAUUUACACCAUUUUCAUUGCAAACUUUCUGUGCUUUGAAUCUCAUUUCCCUCUCUCUCGAUAUUGUCUCGAAGUAAAAAACACUUCGUUGAGUUCGUUGAAACUCCUACAGACUGCAGUGCUGCUUUCGUAGGAGACGAAAAAUUCGUUCUAUCCUGGAAAACGAUUGCUGGACGCCUUUAGCACCAUUGAAGGCAGCAAAUUCGUUUUAAGGACACAUCGUGAAGUCGGUGGGCUCGAAUUACAAUUUUGGAUCCUGUUGAUCAAUUCUUGCAUUCAGGUAAUUCUGUCGGAUUGUUUUCGAAGGAGUGAAUUCAAACUCUAGAAACAACAAUCUUAAAACGAAUUUUAUUUUUUCAAUUAUUAUUUGUUUCUUUUUCUACUCCUUCUUAUCGUUGAUCUUCUGAUUGCAUUCAGAAAUGGAAACUUCUGGUACCACACUCCCGAAUACGACCGGGGAAAAAUCAGAAAAGUUUAAUGGGUCAGAUUUCAAGCGUUGGCAACAAAAAAUGCUUUUUUAUCUGAUGACAUUAAAUCUGGCUAAAUUUCUCAAAGAAAACGCGCUUUCAUAUACUGAGCAAGACAGUGAUGCUGAAAAAUUGGCUGCGCUUGAUGCAUGGAAGCAUUCUGAUUUCUUAUGCAGAAAUUAUGUGCUUAAUGGACUGGAUAACACAUUAUAUAAUGUGUACUGCAAUGCUAAGUCUGCAAAAGAACUGUGGGAAUUUUUGGACACAAAGUACAAAAUCGAAGAUGCCGACACGAAGAAAUUCAUUGUCGGUCGUUUUUUGGAUUAUAAAAUGGUUGACAACAAGACUGUCAUAUCCCAAGUUCAAGAACUUCAGAUCAUACUUACCGACAUCCAUGCCGAAGGAAUGAAACUAAGUGAAUCGUUCCAAGUCGCUGCACUAAUAGAGAAAUUACCACCUUCAUGGAAGGAUUUCAAGAAUUACCUCAAGCACAAGCAAAAGGAAGUGAAACUUGAAGAUAUCAUUGUCCGUUUGAGAAUAGAAGAAGACAAUCGCAAAACGGAAAAAAGGAAUGGUGCAUCUACUUCGAUGAAACCAAAAGCCAACAUUGUAGAAGGAGGCUUCAAGACAAGCAAAAAGAGGAAGCACAAUGGGGAAGGACAAAUUGGUUCUUCAAAAACUGCUAAAAAGUUUAAAGGCAACUGUUACAAUUGUGGCAAGGCAGGACAUCGAUCCAAGGAUUGUCGAAAGCCAAAAAAUGUGAAGGGAAAAACUAACCAGGCCAAUGUAACAGAACAUGAGAACCUCACUGAUAAGGUACAAGACAUGAAUCUUUCUGCGGUCGUCUCUGAAUGCAACUUAAUUGGAAACACUAAGGAGUGGUGGGUAGAUACUGGAGCUACUCGUCACAUAUGCUCAAAUCGCAGGAUGUUCUCUACCUACAAAGCAAUGGAUCAUGAUGAACAUCUUUACAUGGGAAACUCGUCAUCUUCCAAGGUAGAAGGACAUGGGAAGAUAGUGCUGAAAAUGACAAGUGGAAAAGAGCUCACUUUGAAUGAUGUUCUUCAUGUGCCCGAUGUUAGAAAAAACUUGGUAUCUGGUUCUCUACUAAGUAAGAAUGGGUUUAAACUAGUAUUUGUCUCGGACAAAUUUGUACUAUCAAAGAAUGAAAUGUUUGUAGGAAAAGGCUACCUGAAUGAGGGGCUCUUUAAAUUGAAUGUAAUGACCGUUGUACUUCCAAUUAUGAAUAAGAAUAUAUCUUCUUCUUACUUGCUUGAGUCAUUUAACAUUUGGCAUGAACGAUUAGGACAUACAAGUUNNNNNNNNNNNNNNNNNNNNNNNNNNNNNNNNNNNNNNNNNNNNNNNNNNNNNNNNNNNNNNNNNNNNNNNNNNNNNNNNNNNNNNNNNNNNNNNNNNNNNNNNNNNNNNNNNNNNNNNNNNNNNNNNNNNNNNNNNNNNNNNNNNNNNNNNNNNNNNNNNNNNNNNNNNNNNNNNNNNNNNNNNNNNNNNNNNNNNNNNNNNNNNNNNNNNNNNNNNNNNNNNNNNNNNNNNNNNNNNNNNNNNNNNNNNNNNNNNNNNNNNNNNNNNNNNNNNNNNNNNNNNNNNNNNNNNNNNNNNNNNNNNNNNNNNNNNNNNNNNNNNNNNNNNNNNNNNNNNNNNNNNNNNNNNNNNNNNNNNNNNNNNNNNNNNNNNNNNNNNNNNNNNNNNNNNNNNNNNNNNNNNNNNNNNNNNNNNNNNNNNNNNNNNNNNNNNNNNNNNNNNNNNNNNNNNNNNNNNNNNNNNNNNNNNNNNNNNNNNNNNNNNNNNNNNNNNNNNNNNNNNNNNNNNNNNNNNNNNNNNNNNNNNNNNNNNNNNNNNNNNNNNNNNNNNNNNNNNNNNNNNNNNNNNNNNNNNNNNNNNNNNNNNNNNNNNNNNNNNNNNNNNNNNNNNNNNNNNNNNNNNNNNNNNNNNNNNNNNNNNNNNNNNNNNNNNNNNNNNNNNNNNNNNNNNNNNNNNNNNNNNNNNNNNNNNNNNNNNNNNNNNNNNNNNNNNNNNNNNNNNNNNNNNNNNNNNNNNNNNNNNNNNNNNNNNNNNNNNNNNNNNNNNNNNNNNNNNNNNNNNNNNNNNNNNNNNNNNNNNNNNNNNNNNNNNNNNNNNNNNNNNNNNNNNNNNNNNNNNNNNNNNNNNNNNNNNNNNNNNNNNNNNNNNNNNNNNNNNNNNNNNNNNNNNNNNNNNNNNNNNNNNNNNNNNNNNNNNNNNNNNNNNNNNNNNNNNNNNNNNNNNNNNNNNNNNNNNNNNNNNNNNNNNNNNNNNNNNNNNNNNNNNNNNNNNNNNNNNNNNNNNNNNNNNNNNNNNNNNNNNNNNNNNNNNNNNNNNNNNNNNNNNNNNNNNNNNNNNNNNNNNNNNNNNNNNNNNNNNNNNNNNNNNNNNNNNNNNNNNNNNNNNNNNNNNNNNNNNNNNNNNNNNNNNNNNNNNNNNNNNNNNNNNNNNNNNNNNNNNNNNNNNNNNNNNNNGGGCUAUGUCAUCAACCGAAGCUUCAUAUUGGAAAGAAGCUGUUCAUAGUGAAAUUGAAUCCAUACUACAAAAUCAUAAUUGGGAAUUAGUAGACCUCCCUCCCGGUAAUAAGCUUUUGGGAUGUAAAUGGAUUUUCAAAAGGAAAAUGAAAGCAGAUGGAUNNNNNNNNNNNNNNNNNNNNNNNNNNNNNNNNNNNNNNNNNNNNNNNNNNNNNNNNNNNNNNNNNNNNNNNNNNNNNNNNNNNNNNNNNNNNNNNNNNNNNNNNNNNNNNNNNNNNNNNNNNNNNNNNNNNNNNNNNNNNNNNNNNNNNNNNNNNNNNNNNNNNNNNNNNNNNNNNNNNNNNNNNNNNNNNNNNNNNNNNNNNNNNNNNNNNNNNNNNNNNNNNNNNNNNNNNNNNNNNNNNNNNNNNNNNNNNNNNNNNNNNNNNNNNNNNNNNNNNNNNNNNNNNNNNNNNNNNNNNNNNNNNNNNNNNNNNNNNNNNNNNNNNNNNNNNNNNNNNNNNNNNNNNNNNNNNNNNNNNNNNNNNNNNNNNNNNNNNNNNNNNNNNNNNNNNNNNNNNNNNNNNNNNNNNNNNNNNNNNNNNNNNNNNNNNNNNNNNNNNNNNNNNNNNNNNNNNNNNNNNNNNNNNNNNNNNNNNNNNNNNNNNNNNNNNNNNNNNNNNNNNNNNNNNNNNNNNNNNNNNNNNNNNNNNNNNNNNNNNNNNNNNNNNNNNNNNNNGUAUUAUUGGCAGUUUAAUGUAUGUCAUGAAUUGCACUCGACCUGAUAUUGCCUAUUCAAUUAGUAGGCUAAGUCGAUAUACAAGUAAUCCAAGCACUGAUCAUUGGAAGGCCAUUGUUAGAGUUUUAAGGUAUUUAAAACAUACCCAAAAUUUUGGAUUACACUAUUCGAGAUAUCCAGCAGUACUUGAAGGAUACUGUGAUGCAAAUUGGACAUCAGAUACUAAAGACUCCAAAUCAACAAGUGGAUAUAUCUUUACACUUGGAGGUGUUGCAAUAUCAUGGAAGUCUUCAAAGCAGACAUGUAUAGCUAGAUCAACAAUGGAAUCUAAAUUCAUUGCAUUAGACAAAGCUGGAGAAGAAGUCGAAUGGCUACGAAACUUUCUAGAAGAUAUUCCAUGUUGGAUAAAACCUAUGCCUGCUAUAUGUAUCCAUUGCGAUAGUCAAUCAGCAAUUGGAAGGGCACAAAAUGCAAUGUACAACGGUAAAUCUCGACAUAUACGUCGUAGACACAAUACUGUUAGACAAUUGCUCUCUACAUGUAUUAUCUCUAUAGAGUAUGUGAAAUCAAAAGAGAAUAUUGCGGAUCCUCUAACUAAAAGUUUAACAAGAGAGCAAGUCGAAAGUUCAUCGAAGGGGAUGGGAUUAAAACUAAUAAAAUAAUCAAAAGUUUUCAUGGUGGCAACUCAACCUAGUUGACUGGAGAUCCCAAGAUCUAGGUUCAAUGGGACAACCGAACUGUGAAAACUUAGUAUGCACUGGGAAGAUUUUACUUCUACCCAUUCCUAUGAUGAGCCAGUGCCCAGCUGCCGUGAAAUAGGUUAAGAUACGCUUUUAAUGAUUUCUAUAUCUUGAUUUGUUCAAAUGGAGUAUAACAGAAUACUCUUUAUGGAAAUCACCUAUGUGAGUGAGAAGGGGCCGCUUCUAAGAGAAUUAGGUAAACAUGAAUUCUCUAAAAAUCACUCAUGAACCAGGAGGUGUCCAAGGCCAAAAUGGACACAAACGUGAGAACCAACUGUGUUCGAAGAAAAACUGUGUGACUUCUAUUGUCUAGGUUUCCACAAACGGCUGACUGUUUAAAGCAACUUGCUACUGAUUGGCUAAGGAAUUUCGAUAGAUUUUACUAGGGAAAGUUCAAAGUCAUUGACUACUUAUCCCGAUGCAGUCUUCUUCAAUUUUUUCUUUGAAAAAAACAUAACAGAUGUUAUCGUUUGGAAUAAAGGCCAACAUAUUUAAUUCAUGUGGGGGAUUGUUGGAAAAAAUGGUUUAAUGGGUCAACUAUGAGCCCAAAUUUCAGUGGGACCCACCUUUUAAAUAAUACGGGACCUAGCAUGUUCACGUUCUACUCCGCGAGAUGAUUAACGUGAUAUAUUUAUUUAUCGAAAACCAUUUAAAAUUAAAUGAAAUAUUAAGUGUUAAAGUAACCCACAUAAACUAAGGAUUAUGAAAGAAUUUGAUUUGUCAAACACUUAUCCCACAUAGGAAAGUUAGAAAACUUUGGUGUGGUUUAUAAGGUGGAAGUUUGGAAUUGGGUUUGGGCCCCAAGGGGUACCAAUAGUCUUUGGAAGGGGAAAGACCUAUAUCCUAUUGGGUUCGGUCAUAAACCCACACGAGCGCGUCGUCGCCGCCGUCCGACCGGCUGGCUCGGCUCGGCAUGUGCCCGAGCCCUAGUCCGGUCCGGUUCAGUUCAGUGGGGGUCCGGGUCGACCUUUACACCAUAUUAACUUUUUAGACAAAAUUUAUUUAAAAUUUUGGGCCAAAUUGUAAAUAAUCAAAUUCUUGGGUAUAAAAUGAAAUUUAAAUUUUGGCUUAUUCCGGGUGUUUUACUUUCUUUUAAUAGUCGACUGUUUCGACUGUUUACCGACCAAACAGUCGACUUUUUACCGAUCAAACAGUCGACUGUUAGCCGACCAUUAACCGACUUAACAGACACGACUUUUAAGAACAGUAUGUCUGUUCGGAUUUUUGAGGCUUGUCUGAAAGGUGAUGACUGUUCGAAUGGCCACGAACAAGUCUAUAAAUAGCCAGCCUUUCUACCAGAAAAUUUACACCAUUUUCAUUGCAAACUUUCUGUGCUUUGAAUCUCAUUUCCCUCUCUCUCGAUAUUGUCUCGAAGUAAAAAACACUUCGUUGAGUUCGUUGGAACUCCUACAGACUGCAGUGCUGCUUCCGUAGGAGACGAAAAAUUCGUUCUAUCCUGGGAAACGAUUGCUGGACGCCUUUAGCACCAUUGAAGGUAGCAAAUUUGUUUUAAGGACACAUCGUGAAGUCGGUGGGCUCGAAUUACAAUUUUGGAUCCUGUUGAUCAAUUCUUGCAUUCAGGUAAUUCUGUCGGAUUGUUUUCGAAGGAGUGAAUUCAAACUCUAGAAACAACAUGUUCUUGUUCCAAAAAAUUGUUUUUGCUUAUCUUGCUCACUUAUCCGACGCAUUAUCGCCGGAGAUGAAACCGGCGUCGGAGUAUAUGAUAAGAAAAUCGAGGUACAGGAGAGUUAAUCGUCUAGCUAAAAAGAUCAACAGCUAGGAUUUUAUCAGCGGAUCUCACUGUCAAGAAUGGACGGUCAAAAGCUUACUAGGAACCACUCAUCACUUCUUCGGUUAUCCACCACCGUCAGAUCAUAACCAUCCGCAGCUUAUCUUCUAUGAACGAGAUCGCACCUGAUGAAGAAAUAUAUAACCUUGAAGAAUGGAAAUCUCACUGCAAGCCCGUUUCACCGCUGGUUCAGUCCGGUUCAGUGUGUCUAACUCCGAUACUUGCCAUAUUGUUCCUCUAUGUAUGCACCCUUUUCGCCUUCUUCAACACGGACGACAUAGCCACCUCGGAAAAUCUGCUUUUAGGGCUUAUUUUAGUUGCUGUUUUACUUUUCUUCGCGUCGAAAAAUAAGUCAAGAAUCCAACAAAGUUUCAGUUUUUGCAAGGAACUGUGUUAUGAGUAUGGAAAAAAAGUUGGGUUUCUCUGUUUGACCUCUAAGAACAAUGAAAAAUCUGUGAAAUGGUUCAUCGGUGAAUUGAACUUCGAUUAUAAAGAGAA
rnacentral:lncRNA from 1 species